CAUGUUCCUCUGGGACCAGUCAUUCCUUCCCUAGAUUGGCAGUUGGCCUGGGUCGUGGGAGGGGAUCGAGUCUUUCAGAAACCCUUGGGUCAUUGAUUUUCGAGCAUAUGUGGAGGGGAUUUUUUCGACGUUGCUUUAGGAAGUCUCGGCAGUCACGAUAAAUGGUUUUCGAUCCUUCCAACCUUUCUGCAAGGAGGUGUCUUCCUCCACUUUUUCUACUUCGGGUCGAAGCAUCUGGGUUGAAAGAAGUCUCAUGUUGAUCAAUGUUUUGAUGAUUAGCUCGCUCCUCAUCAGGGAUACCCAUGUCGAAUGGAGGUGACCCUCCGUGUUGGGGGGCACCCAGAUGAUAGUUGAUGUCCAUAGGGGUAACGAGCUUCCGUGUUUGAGUACGCUUAGUUUCGUGGAGUGUCUUAAAGAGCUUCUCAUACUGCUCCUGGAGGACCUCAUUCUUCAUUUCUAUCUUGUUGUUCUAAGCUUUUAGCUCAUCGACUUUAGCUUGAAAAGCAACCAUCUUUCCUUCAUUCUUUCGUUUCUUCGCACUAGGUGCAAGAGGGGUGUCAUUCUAUGUGCUGUGGCUUCCUUCGCUCCCCAUGUUGGAAAGGGAUGCCUGGUCAAAAUAGAGUGUACGAAUGGUGGAAACCAGCUUGGCAAAGCUGAAGAGAGUGGGAAUAAGUGUCGUUCCCACAGACAGCGCCAAAUGUUGAUACACAAAAUCAGCGAGGACUUUGGUACAACAAAAAGUGUUAAGUUUGUGACAUUCGCUAGAUUGCUCCGAUCAUUAGUGUGGAUAAGUAAGUAAAUGGAUAGGGACAGGGAAGCAAACACAAGAUGUACGUGGUUCACCCAGAUUGGCUACGUCCACGGAGUAGAGGAGUUCUCAUUAAUUGUGAAAGGUUUACACAAGUACAUAGGUUCAAGCUCUCCUUUAGUGAGUACUAGUGAAUGAUUUGGUACAAAUGACAUUAGGAAAUAUUGUGAGAGAAUGAUCUCUAUUUAUAGAAGAGAGUUUCUAGUUUCAUUCUGACUUUGACACGUGUCGUGUUGUGAUUGGCUUCUGAUGUUGACACGUAUCGCGCUAUGAUUGGCUUCUGAUGUCGACACGUGUCGCACUGUGAUUGGCCUCCUGGUUGGAGGAAAACUCUUCUGGGUCAUUGACGGUAUAAUGUUGACUGGUGCUCAGUAGUUUCGGGAUUGGUCAAGUAUGGUACAAACACAAAAUGUAUUGAUGCUAGGUGAAUAAGUCGCAACACAAAAUGAAAACGGACCAAUGCCAAAUUAAAAUGUAUCGACCAAAUUUAUUUAUUGGUACUAGAUAAAGUACGGACCCAAUUUAUUUACCCAUUCUAUACAUGCCACUUCAAGUAAUGCUUAGAAAGUACAUGCCUACUAACACACAAUUAACUUUAUAAAUUAAAUAUGAAAAUAAAUGUACCAAUCAACAAUAUUAAUAAAAUCGCUUUGAAAAAAAUGUAUAAAGUUAAAUUGAAUAUAGAAAUAAACGUACCAAUCAACAAUAUGAGUAAAAUUGCUUUAAAAAAAUAAUAUAUAUAUAUAUAUAUAUAAUCAAACGAUUGUGGUGGCACUAGUGGCGGUUGUGGUGGCAGUUGUGACGAUUGUGGUGGCGGUGCAGUGGUGGUGGUGGUGGCAGUGGCGGUGAUGUAAGGUUAGUGUUUAUAGUGGUAAGUGGUGGCAAUCAUUUUAUUCUCCAAGGAUUAAAUGUGUGUAGAAGGAUAAAAUAUGUUAUUUUAAAAAACUAAUGAAGGUAUUACAAGAAUUGAAAAUUUUCAUUAAAUGCUCAAUUCCUUUUAAAAACAACCUAUAUGCUUCUUUUAAAAAUUGUUGUAUGGAGACUAUUGUUUUUAAAAUAAACAGAAUAUUUUAUUUUUACCAAACACUUUUUACUGCUUAACUAUAAAUGAAACAAAUUUCGAUAAAAAAAAAACAACACCAAACGAAGCAUAAAACCUAUUAACAAGAAGUGGAGGAGUCUAAUUUCCUCAUGUCUUAAUUAGCAUCUUAACACUAAUUAGCUCGCAAAUAUUUGACUAAUAUACAUAACAAUAAUCAAUCUAACCGAUAAAGAAGCCAUGAAGCCACUCUUCAAUGUUGACCUUCUCAUCCACGUCAAAUUCUCGAUGUUAACAAUAGGCCUUAGUUCAACAAUGAGCAUAUAUUAUUCCGUUAUACUUUCAAAACCAAUAUGAACUCAAACAUUCGGCUAAAAUACACCUCAUAUUCGAACAAUAUAUUUUGUUAAUUGUGAAAGGUGAUUUGGAAGAUAAUUGUGAUACUUGAUGCCAUGCGCGCUCUCGAUUUCUAACUACUCAUGCCGCCAUUGUCAUUGGGUAUGACCGGUGACAACUUGGUGGAAACGUAGCAAUUCGACACGAUUAUUCUCCAAACAUAUGAUUGUUGAGAGCCUGAAUCCUAUGUAAGGGUGGGCAACGGUUAUGCCAGACGGGUAACCGCGGUUAUUUACUUAUAACUGUUUAUGCUCAUACUCGCAUAACCGUUUACCCAUUUGGUAAUUGCCUAAAUUGUUAUACUCAUACCUAUAACCGUUUAUAAACGGUUAACCAUACCAAUAAUCGCAUACCCAUUUAACCGUAACCGUUUAAUACCCGUUUACUCAUUUUUAACUUGUUUAUCUUUUUCCCAUUUUUAACUUGUUUAUCUUUUUUUUUUACCAUUACCCAUUUUUCACCCAUCUACAUGUUUUUUAACAAAUUGAAAUUUUAAAAAAAAUUUGUCAUAAUUUUUUUUGACAAUUAAACACCGUUAUAGGGGUACAUUCAUUAUACAUUUCCUUAUUUUAAUUUUUUAAGUCCUUAUACCGUUUCAAUAAUUGAAAUAAUAGUUUACAGACGAUAUUUUUAAGGGGUGUGAUAUCCACACACCCCAUUUUACUUCUCACACACCUUUUUAAUUUUCGACCGUCGGAUCAGAUGAAUUGAAGAAGAUCAACGGACAAUAAUUAUUAAAGGUGUGUGAGAAGUAAAAUAUGGUGUGUGGAUAGCACACCCCUAUUUUUAACUGUUACCAAUGAAGGUAAUAUAAUAUUUGCUAAGUAUUCUUGGGUUAUGAAAACUGUUUAGAAGACAGUAUUUUUGAGUUAUUUAACCCAUAGUGCAAAGUAUUAACAUAAUAUAUAUAAUGAGCUACAUUAUUUUAUAAUUAGCUAUAUAAACCAUGCACUAUAGUCAAUAGCAUCAGAGGUGCAAUUUGGGCUGAGCCAACCCGAACCCGCCCAUGUCUAACCUGACUUUAAACUCGAAUAAGCGAAUUUUGUUGUUGUUAUAACCCGCCUGAACCCAACCCGAUUUCAACCCGUUCAUUGAUUGGGUUGGAUUGGGUUGAUCAUUUGUCCAUCCCAACCCAAUCCAAUUAACCAAACCCUAUUAGGUUGAGCUGUGCAACAUACUUCUCAAUAACCUUUGCACCUUUGCACCUUUGCACCUUUGCACCUUUGCACUUUCAUGAGAACCUACUGAUAUGAUAUACAAUUUGACUUGAAAGGAAUCAUAUUAAGUUUAUUUUGCUUUUCACAUCACAUCCUGUAGAACAACUUCCUUUAUUAAAUUAAUAUUGCAACUAUUCGACCUCUCUUUGAGAUCUGCUUCACAGUUUGAGUUGUGAUUGUUUCUUAUGCUGAUUCAGACGAAGUAGGCUAUUGAGCAAGUAAAUUUGAGGGAAAGUGAUUUUAAGGUCAGUUGUUUGCUAAUACAAAUAGGUUGACAUCAUUGUUGAAAAACAUUAAACACUACUUGAAAAAGUUAGGCAACCCAAACUCAACCCAAGUAAAUCCAAACCCGAUUAAACCCGAGCCCGACUAAACCCGAUUAAAACCCAAUCCGAACCCGAACCCGAAUUGUAAAAGUUGGGUUAGGAUUUGGUUGAUUUUCCAACUCGCCCGAGUUGCACCCCUAAAUAGCAUUGAUCUAAGUUUUGUCCUAUAGAGAACAUGGUUUGUGUUAAUUUUACAUAUAUAAAAUAAAUGGGUAAACGGUUACCUGUUUAUAACCGUUAUUUAUACCUAUAACCGUUUAUUUAUCUAAAUAGUUACCUAUAACCAUAACCGUAAAGUUUAAAUAAGUGGGUAACUGCGAUUACAAGGUAUUUUACCCAUAUUCCCAUGUCAGAAAGUAAAGCAUUGCCGUAUAAUUUAAAUUAUCUUAGAUCAGUUGAUUUUAGACCGAAUGUUCACAUUCUAAAAUUUCUAAUAACGUCUGCGUUGGUUGUGAUAUGAGUUCUGCACCUCCGAUAUUGUAAAGCAUUAAAUAAAGGCCCAAUUACAAAUUCAUAAUUUUGGCCCAUGGUUUUUGGGCCCAGAGUAAGGUUGCGUAAUUUCCAGGGUCAAGUUUUAAAUUUGAUGCUUAAAUAGCAAGCCCAACCUUUUGCAAUCUCUUACAUGGGCAUUUUCCAGUCUUUACUUUUCAUUUUCAUUUUUACUUUGGAAUUCUAAUCCUGUAUAACAGUACAUGUGGAAAAUCUAUAUCUUUUUUUCUUUUUCUGCAUAUUCCUGUUUAGUUUUGUUAUUUGAUUUUCUAAUACUUUAUUUCAUUCAAAGGUUAGAAAUGAGCAAGAUUUGUGUGUGGGAGAAAAAAGUGUGUGCGACAAUCAUUUCUCAUUUCAUUUUUUAUCGAGGAGAUAAGAGAUUCAAACUUAAAAUCUCUUCUAACAUUGAGAAGUAUCACUAUUGUACUAACGACUAGUUGGUAAUCUUGCACAUGUGUUCAAAACCAAAAAAUUUCUAUUUUGUAUAAUGAGAUGCAAAAUUUAGAUUGCAACGAAGUUCUUCUUUUUAUGCAUGUGAGAGUGAAAUUGCAAUAAAUCGAACAACUUCAAUUACAUAUAUAAGAGUUUCUUUUCUUGUUUGUUAGAAAAUUUUGUGCAGAACGGUUUCAUAUUACAUAUGUAUCUUUUUACUUUUUAUCACGUAUCUUGUCAGGUGACUUCGCAAUGAGAGAUAGAAACACGUCAAGAUACAACGAUUGUUCCAAGAAAGUUUUCUAGUGGUAUGAGAAAGUUAACGAAAAGGGUUGGGACUUGGGAGGCGUUACGUCGUUAUCUGUAACGGUCUUAACAUGGAGCCAAGAUGGGAUGGUAGGGUUUUCGUGUGCAUGAAGGAUGCAGAUGACCUGAUCUGCCUUUCCCUUUGUGCUUGUGACCUCCUGCAAUUUCCAUAUCGACAAAACUUUUGCCCCUUGAUGGAAAUAUCCAACUUUGUGGGGGCCACCAGUCCAAUCCAUGCAUGGAUCCGGCCCGUUCAAUUUUCAUCGCCAGAAUUCAGUUGAUCACCUUGAUAUCAUGACCUAAUUCAAUCAUCAUUUGGAAGACUUUUUUGUCAAAUAAAACGAAAUAAUUGAUUAAUAUGAUUACAAGAUUAAUUCUUCAUUUUCAACAAUAUUGUAGGAUUUAUUUACUAGAGUGAUAGAAGAUUUGAACUUGAAUCCAGACCGCUUUAAAAACUCGUAAAAAAAUAGUAUCAAUGACCAUUUCCUCCUGUUUUGGAGGCAAAUUUGGUCCACUGUUUUUGUGCAUGAAUAAUGGUUGCCUUUAGUAUUAUUUGCUACUUUUUCUUCAGUAAAACAAUAAUACUGUCACUUUCUAUGAUGCCCAUUUCACACUAGCAUGCCCUGGAAGAACUAAAUAUCUUUUGUCAACAAAAAUCUUCCAUAGGUUGUUCCAAUCCAAGCUAGCCUUGGGUUGUCAUGAUGAUUUUGGUUUUAAUACAAAGUAAAUGGUAUAUAUCAACCGACCAACUGUAUAAGUUACUGUCAGUCGUUAAUAUAUGAACGUUGGUUCAUAUAAAUCUCAUAGGUUCCAUUUGGUGUACGAAAUGAAAGGUUGUGAGUAACAGUUAUAUCCUUAAAGAAAAUAUUGACAAAUUAUGUAAUGUACCCAUCCUGCAGUCCUCAUGUUGGCCAUAACCCUACCCAUGUGCAAAUACAAGUGAACAUAUAUCUCUUUUAAUGUAAUCAAAAUUAAAUUGAAACUUAAAACUUAAAUAAGAUUAGGGUUUUGAAUAUUCUAACGUGCAUGGGUUUGGUGACAUAGCAGGUUUAUUCGGUCCCUCGUACACUAGCAAAAGAGCUUGAAAUUAAUUAAUAUAAUUUUAAUUAAAUUAAAUAAUAAUGAUUAAGCUGAGUAAGAAGGAAGAAAGAUCUCCUAAUUAAUCAUCUCCCAAUUGGAUGCAUGACAGUAGCAUUUGGCCCACGUUCCGGAGUAGGCUCCAUCCUCCAUAACAUGCACAUGAGCUGCCAACCAUUUGGUCUCUCUGGGACCGCAUCAUAUUCAUCUGCAGUUAUUUGGAUUCUCAUACGAUCGACACAGAGAGAGAGAGAGAGAGAGAGAGAGAGAGAGAGAGAGAGAGAGGUUUGCAUUGUGAUGAGUGUGAACCCAUGAGACGUUGCAUAGUAUUAUCUUCUGCUACUAUCCCUCCCCAUUGGUUCUGCAAACCCAACACCAACCAAGAUAAGCGUUAGGCUAGUCGGUCGCCUUACCGCUUCUGGUGACGGUAUACUGUUGAUGUAUGUAUAAAUAAUGAACGACUGAGUUUAGUAUUCAUCUAUCUCUUUUGAAAUACCAAACGUACAAUAUGUGACAUUUGUGUAACAAAAGCCGUCUCCUUAUUCUUAUACUUCCAACACCUAGAGUAGUACGUAGCAGUGGUAGUCUUAUCGCACUUACUGACCUUUUUGUUUCAAUUGAUUCUCUCGAUUGAUAAGUGGCCGGUGUUUGGUCCUAAAUAGAAAUUAGGUUAAAUUAUAAACAUAAUCUUUUUCACAAAUGUAUGUUUUACAAUAAGGUAGAAUAAUUAUGUUGACAAAAUUGAAGGUUUCAAUGUACGAUAGAUUAAUUGGAAUGUAGAUGAUUCUCAGUUGUUGAGGCAUUCACUUUAUUUGGUGCGGAUGUAUAAUUGAUGGACAGUCGUUCAUGCACGUGUGUUUGUAUGAAGAUAUGUAAAGCAACCCUCUAGAUAUGAAUAGACAUAAGGUCUUUGUAAGUUGGGCUACUACUAUAUAGCGAAUUAAUUUUAUGUUGAAACCUCAGCUUUAUUCAUGAUAUCAAAGUAGGGUGUUUCAUGUGUGAAGCCCAACGGCUACACGUGCUUCACAUCACUCAUUUUAUUUUGUCCAUGUGCUAAGCUUAAAAAUUCGUCACGUGAUGAGACGUGUUGGAGUAUUAAUCCUACAUCGAAAAGAAGGAAACUUGCAUUGACAAAUAAGAUACGCUAAUACCCAUAUUAUCAAUUAAUUUUAUAAAUUUUAUAGUAAAACCCAAACAUUUUUCAUAAUUUUCUUUGGAGUUAACUAAAGCCAGAAGUUUGUGGUGUUGUUAACUCACUACCUAGGAGUGGACAUUUUAACCGGUAAAUCGGGUCGAGAAAACCAAAAGAAUCGGGUUUGACAUUGUCACAUUCUUGUUGCAUUUUUUCCCAAAUACCGAAUGUAAUGUGCCAUUCUUGUUACGGACAAGGAUUGUCUGCCCUCCUAGUUGUGGUGCCCUUCUAUGCCCUCCUAUUUUGUGCGGUCACGGUUAAGCCACGUCAACAUUUUAUAUUAAUUUUUUAAUGAGAUAAUAAGACAAAAAACAAUAAAAAUAUAAAAUAUUAACGUGGCUUAACCGUGACCGCACAAAAUAGGAGGGCAUGGAAGGGCACCACAACUAGGAGGGCACCUUGUCCUUCUUGUUACAAAAGCCUCUUUAUUCUUAUCCAAUAGAAGUAGUACGUAGUCUUAUCUCACCUAAUGGUCUUUUCUGUCAAUUGAUUCUCUCAGUUUAUAUAUAAGCUUUGUUUGUUUCAAAAUACAAAUUAGCUAAAUCAUAAACGUAAUGUGUUUCUGUUUGGAUCUUACUGUACACCAUUGAUCUGUUUAAUUGAGGCUGUUGAAUUUUAAUAUUUUUCUUAAAUAUUACUAUUGCUGAUUCGAAUUCAAUAGAGAAAACCAGGCAUUAUCCAUUGCUGGUUGUUUGUUGGAGAUCCAUUUGUUGAUAAAGACUUACUCAAGUGAUGGCAAGGAUUUUCCAACUUGGCUUGAGUAAAGAAAAGAUAAAAGAAGGUACCAUCCAUUUGUGAUAUUAUCCCUUUGGCCAAUUUGAUAAUUUAUUCUUUUUGGCCAAUUUGAUAGUAUUUCCUAAUAGAAUGCUCAGUGUUCAUUAAGAUAAAGAUGGCCAUCAAAAGGCCUUUGGUAGCCACGGUAUGGACUUUACAACACGUUCAAGCGUAUUAGUCCUAUAAAUACAUAAAACCGUGUAAUGAGAAGGCAACCUUCAACUUAACAUACAAAUAUGCCUUGCACAAAUCUCGCUCUAGGCGAACACUUCUCACACUCAGAGAACUAACUAACUCACAUUUUGAGAAAUCACUAACUCUCCACUUUCCUAACUACUUAAAGCUCGAUUGAUUAUCUAUCCAAGUCUCAGCUGACGAGGAGUCCUUGAUUCUUUAAUUGAACGAGGUCACUUUACUAGCUUUCCAACCAAAUUAAGUGUUUUAUGCUUGGUUACUUCUGGUACAUUUUAGAGUUCGGUAUUCUGACGGUUGAACAACAUUUACCAUCAAGACAUUUAUCUCUUUCGAGUACGAGUAUCCUUACAGUUUAACUCCGAACUGAUCAGAGCACUUAUAUUUUCACAAAUAUAGUCGAGGCGGCCGAACCUGGUGCAAAAGAUCAUGAACUUCACAGUGACUAACAACCUUUUUGACAUCACCACCACAUUCAUUCUACUAACCGACCGAGUUCGAUGGCAAGUUAGCACGACCGCAUUCAUCAUAAUGACGUAGUUAGCUUUUUGUUAUUCAGUCUACGUGUAAGUAAACUUGAUAGUUUUUAAGGUCAACAAUUUCACAAAUUGUGCUUUACAUUCUAACAAGUUUUACGAUCUCAACUUAUACUAGACGAAGGCGGACGAUCGAUUGUUAGUUGUUGCUGCGAGUUUCAUUGUGAUUGCGGAUGUAUAAUUGACAUACAAUCGUAACGUGUGUUUGUGGGCAAAGCAACUCUCUAGACAUCAAAAGAUAAGGUCUUUAGUUUUAUUCAGAAUUUGAGGUGUCUAUAUAAGUCACAAAAACCAAGAAACCUCUCGAACUCGUACCUUGGAUGCAGUGGAUGGGUUCCUAUCACAUGGUUGUCGCCAAAGGCAACAGAAGAGUACUCGCUAUAAUACUAAAUUAACAUGGUCCACUAGACGGUGGCUUUCCACCCUUUUUGUCGAUCGUGAGAGUAUGAUUUGGCCAAAUGCACUGUUAUUCUCCCAAAGUCGAGGUCAAUUUAGUAAACUAAUAUAUAGAAGUUUUUAAAAGUCACUAGUCUAGUAGCGGGUAGAGGCCUGUCGCUUAGGGGGGCCUAGGUAAUUUUUUAUUUUUAAUUAAUUUUUUAUAUAAUAUAUAGAUAAAUAUCUACUUAUAUUUUUUUUAAAAUAUAACUGUAUUGAGAUACAUUAAUUAGAAAAUGGAACUAUAUAUAAAUUAUAAAGUAUUAGAAUUGAAAACAUGGGGAAUAAACAUAUAAUGAGUGUUCAUCUCAAUAUUUAACAAGUUUUUUACAAUUUAUUGAAAAAAUAAAAUGUAAAAUGAAAGUUAUCUAUUUUCUAUCUAAAUGAGAGUUACGAUCUAGACGAGCGCCUACGCAGAUCUAGACGCUCUUUCUUAGUUUUCAAACGUCUAGUGAUCAAUCAAAGCGAUGACUACCUGCUUAGCGCCUAGGCAGGCUUAAGCGAAGCUAGGCGGUAAUUUUUAAAAGAAUGUGAUAUAUAGUUAGUAAUGAUAGCUACAAGGAAGAAAGAAACAACCCCACUGUACGAAACCAAAAACACUAAGCUACGAUGUGUUCUUAUCAUCUUAAGUUGUCCUACGAAUAAGUUAUGAAACCUAAUAUUAUGUUGUUGACCUAACCAAGUAGCUAGUAGCUAGUAUCGUUCACAUCAUCACUCCUAAAGUAACUUGAGGUAAAUUAGUUGCAAGAUAGCUAGAAUACAGAUCCGUCAAGGGACAUUUUUGUAAGACACAUUUUUAUUGAAAGCGCUACAAAUUUUUAUCGAAAAUUCAAGUACAUCUUGUUGGAGCAUAACGUGGUAUUGUUUGCAUACAUCAUGUAAAACUUUUACAUGUUAGGAUUUAACAAAGCAAGUAUUUUACGUUUUCAUCUCUCACACUUCAUUGUGAUCGAAACUCAAAAGAAAGAUGAUAAUAAGGUCAACUAGUACCCUAAUGAAUAUGAUUUUUAAUUUUCCGUGUAUUGCAUUACGGUUAAAAUGCAAGAUUUUUCCAAUAUUAAACUAUCAUAAGUAGUGUGUGAUGUCAGAGAUAUUACGAGACGAAGAACUUGCUGGUUCUAGUAUGAAAAUUGUUUUUGAAAUUUUGAUUUAAAAUGAUUCAGUCUUCAUAGGUGUCGGCGGGUUGGAUUGGUUUUUAGCUUAAAAGACCAUUUCUGUCCAUUAAUGUUGGUAGUCAGUUGAAUCAAUUAUUUUUUCUACGUGUUUAAUCUUAAACAAAAUUAAAAAAACGGUUUGUUUGGGGAAGGCUGUUAUUUAUUUUUAUUAAUUUUGAAAAAGUCGCGGUAAAAUCCCGGACAACUGUCAGCAGCUGGAGUCACUGUCAGUCGCGCUUGCACGCCGCCGUAGCUUAUUAAACUCCGGUCACUCACUUCCGCUCGUCUUCCGCCGGAAACGCCCUUUUUUUUUUGCUCGAUCAAUAAAAAUUAAAGUUAAAAAAAAAAGAAAAGAAGAAGAACGUUUCUGAAUUACCAAUCAGCUCUUCAACUUCCAUUGGCCACAGCAGUACAGAGCACUGUGUCUCUCUACUUUCUCUCUCUACACACUCUCUCGUAUACUUUCUCUCUCUAUACAGAGAGAAACACAGCACGAGAGCUCUCUGUUGGUAUUUUUUACGGACGUACACGCGGUUGUGUAGGCGUAGAUUCCUUUGCCCCCACUGCGUCAUAUAAUUUUAUCAAUAAAUAAAUGCCAAAAAGCUCUCUCUCUCCCCGCUGAAACCGCAUUUAUACACAGAGAGAGGGCCUAUUCCUAACGUUUUCCUCAUUUUUAUGUGCUGCUUUGGUUUGCCUAUAUUCACUCCUCCUCCGGGGAUCUCAGCCGUCCUCCGCCGCUCUUGCGAGAAUUCACCGGCUCAGCUGUCACCGGCAAGUUUCUCUCUUUGCUUUGGUAUUUAUUUCUGCUGAAAUUUUAAGCUGUUUUUUGUUUGUAAAGUUGGAAACUUUGCUGUGAUGGAAUUGAUGGGUUUUGAGUAUGUUGAUUUUGUGCGGAUUUUGAGGGCAUAAGUGGGUAAUUUGUGGAUUUUGGGCAGAUGGGCAGAUGGGCAGCUGUUGUUUUAGCCCAGUGCAUACGUGGUCUACAGUGUACUGCUUUUGGAUUUCUGGGGAACCUAUAGAGAAUAAUUGCCAGAAAGAUAUGGUCUUGUAGUGUAAACUUAUUGAUUUCUGGGUGAAAUCGAAGGUUUCAUAUCUGGGUUUGUUUUAAUUCGUUGAAUUGGGGAUUUAUAUCUCGUGGAAUUGGACUAUUGGCGUUAUAAAAUUCUGGAGUUUUUGUGGAAUUUGGAUUUAUGGAGGCUUUUGGAGGCAGAGCUCGGAAUUUCUAUGGUACGAUGGUGCCGGAUUUGAAGGGGGCUGGGAAAAAGAGUUUGGAAUGGGAUUUGAAUGAUUGGAAAUGGGAUGGUGAUCUUUUUACCGCUAGUCCUUUGAAUGCUGUACCAUCUGAUUGUAGGAGCAGGCAGUUGUUUCCGCUUGGGCUGCCGGAAACUCCCUCCACUGCUGGUUUGUCCAACAGUUCUUCUUCUGGUUCGGACGGUAUCUGUCCAGGGAAUGAGAAAGGUAAAAGAGAGCUGGAGAAAAGAAGAAGGGCUAGUUUUGUAGAAAAUGAAGGGCUAACUGAUGAAGUUGGGUCUCUUAAUCUCAAGCUUGGCGGGCAAGCUUACCCAAUCAUGGAAGGAGAGGUACAACAUGGGAAGAAGACGAAGAUAGUUGGGACUACUUUAAACCGAGCAGUUUGUCAGGUGGAGGACUGUAAGGCUGAUCUUAGCAAUGCCAAGGAUUACCACCGACGACAUAAGGUCUGUGAUAUGCAUUCUAAGGCAACUAAAGCGGUGGUGGGAAAUGUUUUGCAGCGGUUCUGUCAGCAGUGUAGCAGGUUAGUUCAAUUCUAUGGUUGUCCUUGUAUGGUGAGAAAUAUUUCAAAUUUUCUUCAGUUAAGUUCUACGUCGUUUAUUCGGUGCUUUCUUAUAGACAUUGUUUCUAGAAGAUGAAAUACAGAGUUUGAUUUGUAAGUUUUAAAAAAAUUAUUUGUUGCUCUCAUGAUUUGGGUCCAUAGUUGUUCAUCACUGUGUUUGGUAUAGUCGAAUUUUGAAGAACUUUUUUGUUGAAUUUGGAAUGUGGUUAUACUUAUGGGCAGGUUUCAUGGCCUUCAAGAGUUUGAUGAAGGAAAGAGAAGUUGUCGUAGACGUUUGGCAGGCCACAAUAGGAGGAGAAGAAAAACACAUCCUGAUACUGUAGUUAAUGGAGGCUCAUUGAAUGAUGAAAGAGGAAGCAGUUAUCUAUUGAUUAGUUUGCUGAGAAUACUCUCCAACAUGCACUGUAAAUCUUUGUGUUAUUGCACAUUCAAUUUUUGGCUGCUUUGCCUGACAUUAAAUUGAUAUGCUAAGUGUAUGUUAAGUGGUUACCGGAUUGUGUGUUGAUUGCCAUAGACUGAUGUCAAAGUUCUUGUGGUCUUUUGCUCUUAGGUUUUGUCAUUAUUUGAUUGAGGCUUGUAGCAAAAUGAUUAUGUCAAUUAACAUUUAAUAACUCCACUCAUAAAUUUUUAUUUGUAAACAUACAACAUAUUACUUGAUGAGUCCUUAACUGCUUAAGGUGCUCUAUUUUUGUGUAUAAAUGACAAAGUGCUAGUUUCUCUGAAUUUAAUUUGAUGAAAAUUUGAAUAUUGAUGCUUACGCAUGAAAAGUUUUCAGUUUUUCAGAGGUUGAUUUGAUAGAAAGUUAGAAUUUUGUGCAGACCUUCAUGUCGAAAAAUAUUUCAAUUUUUAUAAUCCAGAUUACACCUUGUGUGCUUGAAUUUCAUCCCUUGAACCCUUGUUUUUUGCACUUUCUUUCUCUGAUUGUUGGACUGUCCAUAUUUCACAUUCUAGGAUGCAUGAAGGAAGGGCCUAUUAAAGGGAAUUCUAAUUAGGAAUUGUUAUUUAGGAAAUUAUGUCUCAGUGAUCAUGUUAUUAUAAUAUUUAUUUGAUUAUGUUUGUGUUUGUUUUUCUUCUCAUAAGUGUCUUACUCAACUCCACUUUUGAUGCCUAAAAUGCAGCUAAUAGUUCAGAUCAAACAAAGGAUCAGGAUUUGCUAUCUCAUCUUUUGAAGAAUCUAGCCAAUCUUUCUGGUACAGUUGAUGGAAGAAACAUGUCUGCAUUGCUUACGGCAUCUCAAGGUUUAAUAAAUGGCGGGGCAUCAAUUCAGACUGCACAAAAGGUCCCAGAUACAGUUUCCAACGGCUGUGAACCAAGUAAGCCUUCUGUUUCAGCCUCUAAAAUGGAUGAUUAUAUUAAUGGUGAGGACCCUUCAAGACCUAUACGACAGUGUUCUACGGUACCUGCAUCAGAUUUCAGGAGAAUAUCUUCAGUUGAUGCAGAUCAUGGAGGUCUACAAGUUGUUUCAGGUCUAAAUGCCACGAAGCCAUUUCCUUCAAGAGACAGUGUUCCAUCCACAUCAGUUGCACCAGAAGCUACAAUGGGGAGGAUGCAGUUAAAUGGCAUUGAUUUAAAUAAUACAUAUGACGAUUCCCAGGACUAUUUGGACAACCUAGGGAAUUCGCAUGCCCCUGUAAAUUCAGGGACAGUGGCUCAUGGUUUUCCCUUUUGGAUGCGUCAGGAUUCGCAAAAGUCUAGCCCACCUCAGACAAGUGGGACUUCAUGCUCAACUUCAUCAAGUUCUAGUGGAGAUGCUCAGGUAUAUUCUUGUUGUACUUGCAUCUCGUUCCUCGUUAUUGCUUGGUAUAUUAAUGCUUGUAUAUGCCAUAACCUGUCCUUUUCUGUUGGAUAAAAGAAUAGCUUUGUUCUCACUUUAAUUUGGCAUUUAGGUGACAAUGCUUUGCAUUCGACUUGUCCGUUUGUCUAGCCAAUUGAUUGAAAAAACAUGAAGUACUCGGCAUACCUAAUAAAUACUUCUGUUGUGACGUAAGAGUCAAGAUGGAUUCUCUUCUUUUGUAUAGUGCUUUGUAUGUAUAAAUGUGUGCGUAUGCUUCUGCUUGAUAAGGUUUAUAGAGUUGUAGUUAAACUACAGGAGGUUGCAGGCUAUAUCAGUUAGAGUUGAGUAUUUUUUAAAUAUUUUUUAUUAUGAAGGCCAGUGUGUAAAAUGUUACUGCACUGUUACGUCUCUUAACCACUCUUUUUCUGCCGUGUUUCAGAGUCGCACAGACCGUAUUGUUUUUAAACUCUUUGGAAAAGAUCCAAAUGAUCUUCCAUUUGUUCUACGAGCACAGGUAAUAUUUGGUGCCUUGAUUUAAUUCUUCACAAUGUAACUUGUGUUUCCUUGCACAUACAACAAUUUUAUGAAAUAUUUUGAAUAUCCAGAUUCUCAACUGGUUGUCCCACAGUCCUACUGACAUUGAAAGCUACAUAAGGCCGGGAUGUAUCAUUUUGACAGUUUACCUCCGUCUAGAAAAAUCCACGUGGGAGGAGGUAUGUUUCUGUGCUGAUGCCAAAAUGUUGAUUGCUGACCUUGUAUCAGGGAGAUCUCUUUUCUUGUCCUUAAUUGUUAUGUUUGCCUGCAGCUCUGCUGUAAUCUGGGAUCCAUUAUAAAACAACUUUUACAUGCUGCCAAUGAUCCUUUUUGGACAACAGGAUGGGUGUAUACUAGGGUGCAACAUUCUGUAGCAUUUACGUACAAUGGUUUGUUCUCUCUCUCUCUCUCUCUCUCUCUCUCUCUCUCUCUCUCUCUCUCUCUCUCUCUCUCUUAAUUAUUCAUUCAUAUAUUUUCUAGCUCAUUUAGUGAUUUACCAAUAGUUGUGUUAUGAAAGAAAAGACAUUUUAAAUAGUUAUGUCUGUACUGCAGGUCAAGUUGUCUUAGACACACCCUUACCUCUGAAAAGCCAUAAAAAUUGCAAGAUAUCAUGCAUCAAACCAAUUGCAGUUUCUUUAUCCGAAAGAGCUGAAUUUGUAGUAAAGGGGUUUAAUCUUUCUCGUGCCACCACAAGGUAUCCUUAUCUUUCAUUCAAGCUUCAUUAUGUAGACCACUCCAGUGUCAUAUGUUAUUUCUGAAUUAGUAACUAUCAGGAUAACUGGGAAGGAGGAAAGUACUAAGUCCUAGCUUGUGACAGGUUGCUCUGUGCUCUGGAAGGGAAGUAUCUAGUCCAAGAAACUUGUUAUGACUUGAUGGAUGGUGCUGAUACAACCUUUGCGAAUGAUCAGCUACAGUGCCUCAGAUUCUCCUGCUCUAUACCCAAUGUUACUGGCCGAGGACUCAUUGAGGUGCUGUUCCAUUCUUAAUAUAUGUUUUAUAUUUCCUUUGAAGUGUGCUUAUCAUUACUUAUUUAUUUAUUUUUAUUUCAGGUUGAAGACCAUGGUCUCAGCGGCUGCUUCUUUCCAUUUAUAGUUGCCGAGCAGGAAGUAUGUUCAGAGAUUUGUACCCUGGAGGGUGCGAUUGAGGUGGCUGAGACUGCAGAUAACAUCCAGACAGAACCUGAAAAGUUGGAAGCCAAGAACCAAGCGUUGGACUUUGUACAUGAAUUGGGUUGGCUCCUUCACAGAUGUCACACUAAAUUUAGACUUGGUCACGGGGAUCCCAACUUAGAACUAUUUUCUUUUAGACGGUUCAGGUUGCUUAUGGAGUUUUCCAUGGACCGUGAUUGGUGUGCUGUAGUGAAGAAACUCCUGGGCAUUCUGCUUGAGGGUACCGUUGACACUGGAGAACAUCCUUCUAUUGAGCUUGCGUUAUUGGAUAUGAGCCUCCUCCACGGAGCCGUGCAAAGAAAGUGCAGGCCUAUGGUGGAACUCUUGUUAAGAUUUGUCCUAGACAAAGGGUGGCAACAAGUUGACGGGGACGGCAGCAACUUCUUAUUUAAACCCGAUGCAGUUGGGCCCAUGGGAUUGACUCCUCUUCAUGUUGCAGCCAGUACUGAUGGAUGUGAGAAUAUAUUGGAUGCCUUAACUGAUGAUCCUGGAAAGGUAAUUUCUCAUUGUCUUCUUUGACAGUUUUCUUUCUAAUUGGAUGUAAAAAUCAGAACAGGUCUGCAUCAUUAUCCAUUUUUCUCCGUACGUGUUUGACCGUUUGCUCAUACAAAUGACUCAUGUCAGCUCAUUCUGUGUCUCACAUGAAUGUUGAUAUUUCAAAUCGUUGUAUUUUCAAGCAUACAAAUGUUGAUAUCUUUGCUUCUUUAGGUGGGAAUUGAAGCGUGGAAAAAUGCUCGAGACAGUACAGGAUUGACACCAAAUGAUUAUGCAUGCCUGCGAGGCCGCUACACCUAUGUCCAAAUUGUCCAGCGGAAAAUCAACAAGAAACAUGAAAGCGGGCACGUGGUGCUUGAUAUCCCUGGCGUUAUCUUAGACAGCAGCAGCAAGCAGAAACAAUUAGAUGGGCAUAAGUCCUCAAAAGUCUCCAUCUUGGAGACCGAAAGGAUCGAUAUGAAAGCAAUGCAGGCACAUUGCAAGCAAUGUGAAAUGAAACUAGCAUAUGGAAACACAAGGUCGUUUGUGUACAGGCCGGCAAUGCUGUCAAUGGUAGCCAUUGCUGCUGUCUGUGUUUGCGUGGCCUUGCUCUUCAAAAGCUCGCCUGAAGUCCUUUAUGUCUUCCAGCCCUUCAGGUGGGAACUCUUGGAGUAUGGACCGAGCUAAGGCAGUUUACGCGUCUCAAAUUUUAGUUACUCUGGCUUUAGGCCGUUUGUGUUAAUCAUAUGUAUAAACGGAUAACUCAAAUUUUAGUUACUCUGGCUUUAGGCUGUUUCUGUUGAUCAUAUGUAUAAACCGAUAACUCUAUAGGGAACAUAAUGUACCAGUUUUCGUAUCCGUUAAGAUUUCCACGAGAGGUGUUGCACUGUAUGUAUUAAUGAUAGUUCAUAUAAAGCGUGUAUAGGGAAAGAUUGACGUAAAUAGUACUAUUGACCAAUUGUUGAGGCAAUAGAUUGCUGCAUUACUUCCAAAAACACAUACAAACAUUGUAUUCGAUGAGGCGGAAGAUUCGGACUUGAAAAUUCUUUCGCUUUUAAGUCAGCUUUCUUAAACAGAAGACAAUAUUUAGUAGGGCGGCCUGACUAAUAAUUUCUUUCGCUUUUAAGUCAGCUUUCUUAAACAGAAGACAAUAUUUAGUAGGGCAGCCUGACUAAUAAGUAGGUUAGACUACUCUUGCUAAAUUUUAUGCAUUGAGAGUUGUAUUUACGUAAGACUGGAUGGUGACCAAAUACAUAGAAUCACGUUCCUUCAUGAGGGGAUAAGGCUGUCUCACAAAGGUUGGAGCUUUGUGCUUACUUAGAUACAUGAAUCUCGUUCUUUCGUGAGUCAACUUUUCAGGUUAUUCAACUCAAAUGUUAUGAAUAAAAUUGGGCCAAAAUUAGAUCAAACAGUUGUUUUUCUCCAAAUAUUUUUAAUUUGGUCAAAUGCAUGAAUCUCGUUCUUUAGUGAGAUAACUUUUCAUGUUAUUCAACUCAAACGUUAUGAAUAAAAUUGGACCAAAAUUAGAUCAAACAGUUGUUUUUCUCUAAAUAUUUUUAAUUUGGUCAAAUCCAAUCCGAGUCUAAUAUUAACUAGCAAAAAAAAAAGCAGAAAAAUGGAUUUUACAGGCUAAUAAAAUAAUAGGAAAAGGACUCCAGUCACAGAGACACGUUGACUCAUAUUUUGACAUGAAAUUGUUUUCCACUUCAACAAGUCAUAUUCAUGGUCCUUACAUAGUGUACACAAUUAUUACCUUGUUUAAUCUUUUUCAAUUAUUUUGUCGUUUUGAACCUUUUUUCUUUGGUUUAAUUGCCAAUAAUUCAAGCAUUAAAUCUUGAUCUCGAAAUGGAACAAUUUUCCGGUGUACUAAGAUCACGUUCACGUAAAAUUACUGGUUCAUUUAAAUUAUAUUACGUAGAUUUGUUAAUAUUAAGUUUAGGUUAAAUCUCACAAUAAUUAGUAAUAAUAUGACGAGAAUUAAACUUGAAAUAUAUCACUUAUAAUAAAAUAAAAUAUCAUUAGUUUAAAUAUUAAAAUGAUACACCUCGUAACUUGUAACGCUGUUAAUUUCUAAUCGAAAUCAAAAGGAGACGCGUCAUUUGAGGCCACCACCUCUCUCCUCUCACUCUCCCCACUGAAACCGAAUUUACACAGUAAGAGAACCCUUUUCCUAACCUUUUCCUAAUUUUCAUGUGCUGAUUAGCUUUGUCUCGGGGCCUAUAUUCUCUCUGCCUCAACUGCGAUCUCAGCCACUUCUUCGUCAGCUCUCAGUUCUCAGCUCAUCUCCCAACAAUUCACCAACCUGCCGGCAAGUUUCUCUCUCUUUACUCUCUCGCUCUCCUCUUUAUUUCCACAAAAAAAGAUUGGGUCUUUCAGUUCUUUCAGCUCAAGUUUCUUUCCAUGGAGUUGAAAGCAUUGACUAGGAUGUAAUUGUGGGCUUGCAAAUACGGUAUUUUGUACUGACUUGUUGAGAGAAAAACUGGGUAAUUGGUGGAUUUUGGGUUCUGGGCAGCUGUAGCCUGUAGUUUAGCUCCAUUUUUAUGCUGGUGUGCUGUUCUUGGUUUUCUGGGGUUCUUGGAAAGAACAAUUUCCAGAAAUUUCUGGGGCUGUGGUGUUAUUGACUUUUUGUUUUGGGGUGAAAUUUAUAGUUUUAUCUCUGAGCUGUAGUUGUUGUUAUUGUUCAAUUGGGUGUUUGUAUCUGGUGGAGUUUGACUAGGGGGCAUUGUAACAUCUCUGGGUUUUUUGUAUCUUGAUCUAUGGAGUCUGAAUUCGGAGGAAAGGCUUGUAAUUUUCGUGGUGUGAUGGUGCCGAAUUUGAAGGGGGUUGGGAAAAAGAGUUUGGAAUGGGAUUUGAAUGAUUUUAAAUGGGAUGGUGAUCUUUUUACUGCUAGUCCAUUAAAUUCUACACCAUCUGAUGGUAGGAGUAGGCAGUUGUUUCCGGCCAGGCCAGAAACUCCGUCGGAUGCUGGUUUGUCCAACAGUUCUUCUUCUGGUUCGGAUAAUAUCAGUCCGGGGAAUGAGAAAGAUCAAAGAGAAUUGGAGAAACGGAGAAGGGAUUUUUUUGUGGAAAACCGAGAGUUGAAUGAUGAAGCUGCGUCUCUGAAUCUUAAACUUGGCGGGCAAACUUACCCCAUUAUGGAAGAAGAAGUACAAACCGGGAAGAAAACAAAGACAAUUGGGACUACUUCAAACCGUGCAGUUUGUCAGGUGGAGGACUGUAAGGCUGAUCUUAGCAAUGCCAAGGAUUAUCACCGGAGGCAUAAGGUCUGUGCUAUGCAUUCUAAGGCAACUAAAGCGCUGGUUGGAAGUGUUAUGCAGCGGUUCUGUCAACAGUGUAGCAGGUUGGUUCCAUCCUAUUGUUAUUUAUUGUUUGGUUGAAACAUUUCCCCGAUUUUCUUGAAUUAACUUGAAAUACAGAGUUUGGUUGUGUAAAUUUUGUUGUCAUGCGUUUGUUGUGCAUGGCUGUUCAUCAAUCUUCUUACGGUAUGGUUGAGUUCUGCAGAAGGUUUUUUUUGUUGAAUUAAAUGUAACAGGGUUAACACUCGUGGACAGGUUUCAUGCUCUUCAAGAGUUUGAUGAAGGGAAGAGAAGUUGCCGUAGGCGUUUGGCUGGCCAUAAUAGGAGGAGAAGAAAAACACAUCCUGAUACUGCAGUUAAUGGAGGCUCUUUAAACAAUGAAGGCGGAAGCGGUUAUCUAUUGAUUAGCUUGCUGAGAAUACUUUCAAAUAUGCACUGUAAGUACUUGCCUUAUUCAUUGUACACUUCUGUCUUAGUGAAACAUUGUAUCUCAGAUUUAUUUGAAUCCGCAUAUUAUGCCAUUUAUAAAUUGCAGCUAGUAGUUCUGAUCAAACAAAGGAUCAGGAUGUCAUAUCUCAUUUGUUGAGGAGCUUAGCCAAUGUUGCUGGUACGGCUGAUGGAAGAAACAUAUCUACAUUGCUGCAGGGAUCUCAAGGUUUAUUUAACAGUGGGACAUCUGUCCAGACUGCACGAAGGGUUCUAGAUAUGAAUGCUGGUGUUAAUACUGAGGACCCUUUAAGGUCUAAAGGACACUGUUCGAUACUACCUGCAUCAAGAGACAGUUCUGAAUCCAAAUCAGUUACACCGGAAGCUACAAGUAGAAGGUUCCAGUUAAAUGAUUGAUUUAAAUAGUACAUAUGAUGAUUCACAGGACUAUGUAGAGAACCUAGGGAAUUCUCAUGUUCCUGCAAGUCCAGGCACUGCAUCUCUUGGUUUUCCUUCAUGGAUGCAGCGUGAUUCUCAUAAAUCAAGCCCACCUCAGACAAGUGGGAAUUCAGACUUAACUUCUACUCAGUCACCGUCAAGUUCUAGUGGAGAAGCUCAGGUAUAUCCUUGUAAUUGCAUCUAUUCCAUAAUUGCUUGGUAAUAUAAUGCUUAAAAAUGCCUUUGUCGUGGAUGAUGCUCAGCCCACUGUAAUUCGUCUUUUUUUUAAUCUUUUUUUCCAUGAGACCAGGGAUUAAUAUAUCAAUUGUCAUUAAUCAUUAUACGGCGUAUAACUUGUCUUUUGUUUGGAUAGUAGAAUACCUUUGUUCUAUCCUUGAGAGUAGUUAGGCAGUCAUGUAUUGUGUUCUGAACGUGUCUGUGUAUCUUUCCAUGGAUUGUCAAAAUAAUGGCGAGGUUAAGUGCGCUCGCUGCUUGGUUAUGGGAUAUAUGUAAGAAAUGCUUCAAUUGUGACUUAAAGUUGAGAUCAGUUAUCUCUUCCUUCAAACCAAUAUGGCAGUUUACAAGCGCAACCACACACACAAACAUACUUGUUGUGUAUACGUCUUCUUGAUGCUGUUAAUAGAAUUGAGGUUAAAGUUACCUGGUGGUUUCUGCAGUCCUAAUGGAACAUGCAUUAUUUAUGUAAAAGGCCAGUAUGUAGAAUGUAUCUGCAAUUUUACGUUUCUUGACUGCUCUUUUUCUGCCACAUAUCAGAGUCACACAGACCGAAUUAUUUUUAAACUAUUUGGAAAAGACCCUAAUGAACUUCCACUUGCUCUGCGAUCACAGGUACUAUAUUUCCUUUGAUUUUUCUAGUUUUCAAAGUACUUUUCAAAGUAUUUUGGUGUUUCAUUCCACGGACUCCAUGAUUUUUAUAAAUUAUUUGAAUAUCCAGAUCCUCGACUGGUUAUCUCACAGCCCUACCAACAUUGAAAGCUACAUAAGGCCGGGCUGUAUCAUUUUGACAAUUUACCUUCGUCUAGAAAAAUCCACGUGGGAGGAGGUAUUCUCGACUGUGGAUGGCAGAUCCUUGUAUGAGGAAGACUUUUUCUUCAAGUCCUUAAUUUUGACAAUUCACCUCUCCCAGACCCUGAUUAAAGCGGGAGCCUUGUGCACUGGGUACGACCUUUUUUUUUAUAAUUAUUUUUGCUUACAGUUCUGUUGUCAUCUGGGAUCCAGUUUGAAAACACUUCUUGAUGCUGCGGAUGAUCCUUUUUGGAGAACAGGAUGGGUGUAUACAAGGGUGCAAGAUUAUGUAGCAUUUACAUACAAUGGUUUGCCUCUCUCUCUCUCUCUCUCUCUCUCUCUCUCUCUCUCCCCCUCUCAUUUCGUGUGUGCGUACACAUUUGUGUAUUUAGGGUCUAUAGAAGAAUCUUGCUGUUUUAGUUUUCCAUUAUGCUUUAUUGAUUUUGGUCAUGCUUUGUUUUGUUAUUUCUAGUACAUAAUGAGGAUUGACCAAAAACAUUAACCUUAUAUGAGAGAAGCAUUUUGAUUAGUUAUGUCCAUCCUGCAGGUGAAGUUGUGUUAGACACACCCUUGCCUCUUAAAAGCAAUAAAAGUUGCAGGAUAUCAUGCAUCAAACCAAUUGCGAUCUCCUUAUCUGAGAGAGCUGAAUUUAUAGUAAAAGGCUUUAACCUUUCUAGUUCCACCACAAGGUUCUUUCAUCUUUCAUUCAUGCGUCAUUACUUUGUUUUCAAUAUUCCUCUCUAGUUUUAUAGGAUAACAGAAGAAAUACUAAAUUCUAGAUCUUGAGUCUUGACAGGUUACUCUGUGCUCUAGAAGGGAAGUAUCUGGCUCAAGAAACUUGUUAUGACUUGUUGGAUGAUGCGGAUAGCACUGUUGAGGAUGACGAACAACAAUGCCUUAAAUUCUCCUGCUCUAUACCAAAUGUUACUGGGCGAGGAUUCAUUGAGGUGCUGUCAUAUUCCUAAUUGUCCCUUUCCCCCUUCCUCCUCUUGUAAUGUGCAUUUUGAACGAGCCGUAUUUUAUAAGUCCGGAAUUUGUUUAUAAAUCUUCUUAUGAAUACUGAGUAUAGAUUUGUUUCUAGACAGCGCCUUAACUGAAAUCCACGGUUCUCAUUUUAUUGGUCAAAUUUAUGUCAGGUUGAAGAUCAUGGUCUCAGCAGUAGCUUCUUUCCAUUUAUAGUUGCAGAGCAGGAAGUAUGCUCUGAGAUUUGUAUGCUGGAAGAUGUGAUUGAGGUGUCCGAGACUGAUGAUGAUAUCCAAUCUGGACCUGAAAAAGUGGAAGCUAAGAACCAAGCCUUGGACUUUAUACAUGAAUUGGGUUGGCUCCUACAUAGAAGUCGCGUUAAGUUUAGACUGGGUCAAUUGGAUCCCAAUCUAGAUACAUUUCCCUUUAGACGGUUCAGAUUGCUCAUGGAGUUCUCCAUUGACCAUGAUUGGUGUGCUGUGGUGAAGAAACUCUUGGGCAUUCUGUUUGAUGGUACUGUCGACGCUGCAGAGCAUCCUUCCCUUGAGUCUGCACUACUGGAUAUGGGCCUCCUCCACAGAGCUGUGCGAAUCAAUAGCAGACGUAUGGUGGAAUUCUUGUUAAGAUUUGUCCCAGGUUUAACAGGAUCUGAGCAGAAGGAACAAGUUGACAGGGACGGCAACAGUUUCUUGUUUAAACCUGAUGUUGUUGGGCCCAUGGGGUUGACUCCUCUUCAUAUUGCCGCCAGUACUGAUGGCUGUGAGCAAGUAUUGGAUGCCUUAACUGAUGAUCCUGGAAAGGUAAUAUCUCCGUUUUUUGAAUUGCAACAUAAUAUUUUUCUUCUAAUUCUAUGUAGAAAUCACUUUGCGCUGGCUACAACCUCCAUCCCAUCUCCAUACCCAUUUGAACUCUUGCGCCUACAGUUGACCUGUGUCUGUUCUCAUACUGUUUCACACACGUGUUUUGAUGAUUUUAACUCAUUCUAAUUUCCAGCAUGUCAGGUUGCUCACGGAUUUUAGAUCUGUAAUCAUGUCUUCUUUGACUUUGAGCUCUCUCUUUAGCUUUUCCACUGUCUUCUGCCUAAACAAAAUACACUGAUUCCAGUUAUUGAGUUGUAUUUCAAAUUCUCAAUUAACCAAUCCUAGACAAAUUAUGCAGUCUUGUAUUUUCUUUGGCUUGCGAAACAUAUGAAACAUAAAUCACCGUAGAAAAGUUAAAUGCGCCAUUCAAAUUGGUAAAGAAAGCAGCACCCCACAUCUAAAUGCAUGCUAACUCUUUCACAGCUGAAAGCGGCACCCAAAUUCUACAUUCAACUUGAAAUCAAAUAGGACUGCUGUUAAAAUUUUUGACGAUAAAUGAAUUAUGAUUCUUUUCAUCGUUCUAGUUUCAACUUUCAAGCAUGUGUUUAGGACUGCUGUCAUGAAAUUUCUUUAGUGUCAGAUAAUCCAUUCAUCAAGUUGAUAUGGGCGUUUUUUUCUUUAGGUGGGAAUUAAAGCAUGGAAAAACACUCGAGACAGCACAGGAUUGACACCAUAUGAUUAUGCAUGCCUUCGAAGCCGCUACUCCUAUGUCCAUAUAGUCCAGCGGAAAAUCAGCAAUACACUGGAAAGCGGGCAUGUGGUGCUUGACAUCCCUGGCCUCACGUUAGACAGAAAUGGAAAGCAGAAGCAAUCGGAUGCGCAUAAAUCAUCAAGAGUAGCCAGCUUGGAAACUGAAAGGAAUGAUAUAAAAGCAAUCUUACGACACUGCAGGUUAUGUGAACAGAAACCAGCUUAUAGCACCACACGGUCACUUGUAUACAGGCCGGCAAUGCUGUCAUUGGUGGCUGUCGCUGCUGUCUGCGUUUGCGUGGCCUUGCUCUUUAAAAGCAAUCCGGAAGUUGUUUUCGUGUUGGAGCCAUUCCGGUGGGAACACUUGAAGUUUGGUUCAAGCUAAGGUUAUAGUUUACGUGUAUUAAUUUAUAGUGACUCUGGUUAUACAUAGACCAUUUCUUUUCACGUGGAUAGGAGUAUAUUUUCUAUCUGAUUUUUAUAUGUAUAUCUAGGGCCACUCAAGCCAACAAGACUCUUCGCAUUGCAAUGGUCGGAACGUCUAUCGUAUCUGUAUUUGUAUACCUAAGCUUCCAAAAUAAACAUGGGCUGUCAUGGAUUUUGGUCCACCAGGUUUGAUUGUAUUUGUAUUUGUAUAACAGUGUUACAAACUGGAUGACACAUAAUUUCUCUGUUUGAUAUUUCUUUUUUUUUUUUCAAAAUAAACAUUUGGCACGAGGUGAUUCGGUGUUCGAUUAUUAGUGCAUUUACUGUAUAAAUUAAAUUUUAAUUUUAGAAAAUUCAGCAUUUUUGUUGGUUAUAUUGGAGGAAAUCGAACUUUGGUCUACUCUAAUUCUAACUUAUUACCAUACCCUCCUCCAUUAUUUGAGCUCAUAUAAGCAUAAGCACACUAAACAAGGUUAAGUAUAGAAGAAUUUGGGAAUUGAGAAUUAUUGUUUGAGCAUUAUUUCAUGUUUAGUGCAAAUUGAGGUUGAAUUAUUUUCUAAUUUUAUUAGUUUAAUCAUUUGGAUGAAUUUGUUCAUGCUUCCAUAUGAAAUCAUUAUUUUAUUAAAAUAAUUUAUUAAUAGUUCGAGAAAAACUUAAAUGGAGGUGCUCACGUCAUUCAUCACGCAUUCACAUUCACAUUCGUUACACGUUUCUCAUAAAAACAUAAAACUCUUUCAAAUGAAUAGGUUUCACUGAAUUUGGAUAAUAUCCGACUUUACAUAAGUACAAGUAUCAAUGCACAUGAUUCCAACCAGUAAUUAUUAUCUUAUUUGAAUUACUUACCCCGAAUCAGACCUGAAAAAGUGUAAUUUAUUCAAAUUUUAUUUUCUGAAAUUCAAAAAAAUAAAAUAAAAUUUGAGGAUAAGAAAAUAAAGGGUAAAGAGGUCAUUUGCAUGCCCUGCCUCCUAAAAUCCACCUCACUACUCACUACCCCGUCACUGCUCUAACAAUUUUGCAGGCCAAAGCCAUCCAUGGCUUCUUCAAUCUCUCUCUCCUUCUCUUCCUCUCUCCUCCCUCAUCCUCUUCCUUUCAACAAAUACUCCACCGCCACCGCCGCCGCCUCCCAGAAAUCCCAAUACCCCAACUUUAAGCUGCUCCUCCGCGCAUUCGCCAACCCAGCUGUAAGCCGUCGCUCCACUCCAUCUCCGUCUUCCGACACCAGAAAGAGGCACUGGAAGAAAGGUGAAUACCCAGGCGUCUCGGAGACGUCGGCUCCGGCGAAUUACAGAAAAACCCCUGGUCGUUCCACUUCAUCUGAGUCUUCCGACACCAGAAAGAAGCACUGGAAGCGAGGUGAGUUCCCGGGCGUCUCGGAGACGUCGACUCCGGCGAAUCACAGAAAAACCCCUGGUCGUUCCACUUCAUCUGAGUCUUCCGACACCAGAAAGAAGCACUGGAAGCGAGGUGAGUUCCCGGGCGUCUCGGAGACGUCGACUCCGGCGACUUACAGAAAAACCUCCGCUCGUUCCGCUUCAUAUCCGUCUUCCGACAACAGAAAGAAGCACUGGAAGCAAGGGGAGUUCCCGGGGGUCUCGGAGACGUCGAUUCCGGCUAUUUAUAGAAAACCCCCUUUGAAAAAUGUGAAGAAGAAGCUGGACCGGAAGAACAAUGCCAAGGCCUGGGUCAACACCGUCACGGAGGCCCUGUCAGACGCCAUUGACAAGAAGCAGUGGCUCCAAGCUCUUGAGGUUUUUGUCUUAAUCUAAACAAAAAUUAACAAAUUUUUCAUCUUUUUUCUUAUGUGUUUUUAGUUUGGUGAAUGUAAAUUGAUGCAAAAUUUAAAAAAAUGGUAUUUUUAUGCUUACCAAUUUAGUUUCUUGAACCAUGUUCUUGAAAAAUGUGAUCUUUUUAGCUGAAUGAUUUUAGUGGAAUUAUAAUUAAUUGGGUGUUUUUGUUUGGAAAAUGUAUGAUGAAAUUGGGUACUAUUACGUUCAGGUGUUUGACAUGCUUAGGGAACAACCAUUUUAUCAACCGAAAGAAGGGACUUACAUGAAACUCAUUGGUAUGCUUGGAAGGUGCGGCCAACCCAAUCGUGCCCGCCAGCUUUUCGAUACAAUGGUUGAAGAGGGCUGUGAACCAACUCUUGACCUUUACACAGCCUUGCUCGCGGCUUAUUGCCGGAACAAUCUGAUUGACGAGGCAUUUUCUGUUCUUAACCUGAUGAAGACUCUCCCGCAAUGCCAGCCUGACGUUUUUACUUACAGUACCUUGAUAAAGGUUUGCAUUGAUCAUUUGAAGUUUGAUUUAGUUGAGUCCUUGUAUGAGGAAAUGGCUGAGCGGUUGAUAGCUCCGAAUACAGUCACCCAAAACAUAGUGUUGAGUGGAUAUGGUAAGGCCGGGAAGUAUGACCAGAUGGAAAAAGUGUUGUCCGGGAUGCUGGAGGGUACAAGUUGCAAGCCUGAUGUCUGGACAAUGAAUGUUGUCCUUAGUGUGUUUGGAAACAAGGGUCAGAUAGAUAUGAUGGAGAGAUGGUAUGAGAAAUUCCGUGAUUUUGGGAUUGAGCCGGAAACUCGCACUUUGAACAUUCUGAUUGGUGCUUACGGGAAGAAAAGGCUGUAUGAUAAGAUGUCAACUGUGAUGGAGUACAUGCGCAAGCUUCAAUUCCCAUGGACAACCGCAACUUACAACAAUGUGAUAGAGGCUUUCGCGGACGUAGGAGAUGCAAAAAACAUGGAAUACACGUUUGAACAGAUGCGUGCUGAGGGCAUGAAAGCAGACACCAAAACAUUCUGCUGCCUUAUUAAUGGGUAUGCCAAUGCAGGCCUCUUCCAUAAGGUGGUUAGCUGCGUUCAGUUGGCUGGAAAGUUUGAGAUACCUGAGAAUACCACAUUUUACAAUGCGGUGAUAGCUGCAUGUGCAAAGGCAGAGGAUUUAAUGGAGAUGGAAAGAGUUUUCAACCGGAUGAAAGAGAAGCAAUGUCAACCGGAUUCCACAACAUACUCUGUCAUGGUUGAGGCAUAUAGUAAGGAAGGUAUGAACGACAAGAUCUACUACUUGAAGCAGGAGAUUGGUACUGAUGGUAAUCAAAGUGAUCAGAUUAGUGUUGAAGAAAAUCAAAGUGAUCAGAUUAGUGCCGAAGAGAAUCAGAGUGAUCAGAUUAGUGUGGAAGACAAUCAGAGUGAUCAGAUUAGUGAUGAAGGCAAUCAAAGUGAUCAGAGUAGUUUUGAAGAUAAUCAAAGUGAUCAGGCUUUUGGAGCUGAGUCUGGCGGUGUUGUCUAGUUGAGAUCUUUGGAGGCAACAGUAUGCUCCAAAAAUCCCUAAUCUCACAGGGCAAUUCCAUUCCCCGCAGUUCUUCUAAGGCAGCAGCAAACUCUUAUUGUGAAAUUGCCGAUCGAUCAGGUAAUCAAACAUUUCCAUUCUCGGAUGGGUGUUAGCAAUGCUGCUUCCUCCAAUUUUAUGUUUCUGGUGAAGGACUGUAUGGAUUGAUCUGAUAGACUGAUAACCCGGGUGAAACUUUAUGGAAAAUGAUUGUACAUACAGAGUUGAUAAGUGUCUCUCUCCAAACUUGAUGCGAUCUCUAAACUAGCAUGCAAAAUUGUACGACGAUUUGUAAGAGUGUUUAACUGUGUUCAACAGAGGAAUUGCUUUUUGUUAUUGCCUGAAAUGUUUUGAAUGUAACUUCACGUAUAUAUUGUCUGCAGCAGCUGCUGGACAAUCAUAGAAGGUGGUCUGUAAACACGUUGUUUUUGAAAAUUAAUCGCUCUUUUCGGUACAUUUUGUGCUGCUGUUGUUCGAAUGUUUUGGCACUUGAGGCAGACAAUUGAUCUGCAAUUAUCCCAAAAUGUAAGGGUCCAGCUCAACAAAACGCAGGGGUAAUUUGAUCAAAGAUGUAAGUUUUGUUAUAUUGACUUUUGAGUAGCAUUGGUAGUGUAAUAAACAAUAUCAGUAACGUUGAAUAAUAAUAAAUUUUACUUGGAUGCCGGCGUGUGUAGUAAGAAUAUGUCCAAAGUGGUUUGGACAACGACAUGAUGGUGCGUUAACUAAUAUGAUCUUAUCACGUGAUGAGAGAUAAAGGAGAGAUGAAUGUAUUCGUGACCUGGAGGUUAUUCUACACGUAAACUUGUAAAGAUAGGCAAACAGGGUGCUUUUUGGUUGAAACGAAAUGCUGAAUUGUUUACUCUUUCUUGUGUAAGAAGAGAAGACUUGUAUCGUAAUCAGGUACUAAUUGUUGUCUUUUGGUCCCACCUUACCUCACACUAUAAAUAAUGGCAUCUAAACCCGAUUAUUCACAGAGAAGCUUUCACAAAAGCAUAAAACUCUUAUAUUUUGGUUUCACUCGCCUCAAACUAGUCUCCCUCGUUGAAAUAGCUAACCUAGUUAGGAACUGUACACAAGUUUCUCUCGUAUCGAAGAAAGUCAAAGAAGUUUUUAGCUCACAAAAGCACAUAACCCCCUAUAUAUUCCAUUUGAAUCACCAUUUACAAAAUUUGUACUAACUUUCCAGUCGAAGAUAGGAUAGUUUCGACAAGUAUUGAACGGCUAAGAUAACUUUAUUUAUUACAUGAAUGGCUAAGAUUAAAAACAAGGGCACGUAGACGAAUACAAACAUCUUCAAUGAGAGGAUCCACCAUUUCUACCAUUGGAAAUUUAAUUUCCUUACAGAAUAGGCGAAAAGUGAAGCGAAAACAAUCGGGAAAGCAAUGAGAACAAUCGCCACGAGGAAUAAACGAUCGUGAUGGAAGCCAUAGUAGUCUUGAAGGAAGGAAGCAACUGUUUUCUGCUCCCCAAAAAUCAAAAUCUCUUUGUUCAUGUCUCCAUAUUGUGAACUGAGGAGGGCAUUUAGGGACCAUGAUGUAGGACAAAUCCAAUAGAACCAAAUCCACCACUUGGGAAUUUUCUGCAUAAAAUAUAUAGAACAUGGUCCGCUAGGCUCACAGUAAACCGUCAUAUUAAGGGUUUAUUUGGCACUGCUUCUUUAGAAAGAACUUUUGCUUAUAAAUUAUAAGCGCUUUUUCUGUAAGUUGUUUAAUAGAGUUAUGUUGCAAAAAAAGCAGUUGGGAGGGCUUCGCAUACUAAAAGCUCUUAAAGUUUUACUACAUAGUCUUUUGGCUUUUCUAGAAGCAGUCUCAAACAGGGCUAAAGACUAAAGAGAGAGUUAGAUUUAGUUACCGGCCCGAGCACAAGGAAGCCGGAAAAAAGAUUCAAUAUGGUGUAGAUUGCCGUUGCGAAAAUGGAAGCUACUUGCAGGCUUGUGCUAAAAGAAGCUAUCAGCAUCCCAAGGUAUACAAAUUAGAGAAAUGUAGAGAAUGUUGCAUGGAAGUACCAGAAAACCUUAGUAGCUGACCAAUAGUACCCUAUUGUAGGGUAUGUAAUAAUGACAUACAGAAUUGCUUGAACCACUUUGUAAGUUAUUUCAAUGGCCACCUACAACAACAUUCAAAAUUUCGACAUGUUAAAAACCUUUCCACUACAAGCUACGUUAUAGUACCAGUUAAAAUGUACGAACCUGUGCAAACGAAUGAGCGUUUGAUGAGUACAUCCCAGCAAAUCUUUCCCGGUACAGAACUGCGCGCUCAGUAGCCACGUAAGGCAGAACCGUCGAGCAAUUGGUUGUGCCCAAAAAUAUUACAGCAAUGUACAGUAACCCAAGCACGUUGAACAAAUCAUGCUCAUUGUUUCUUGAGGAACAAGAAAAACACAGGAUUUAGCGUUGUUGAGCAAAAAUUGUACAUAAUAUGUAAACAAAUAAUUCUCUCGACAUAAUUUCACCCUCGUUCAUUUUUCGAAGAGGGUUUUAUUAGUUUGAGUUUGAUUCAUUCUAGGUUACGCGCCUAUUAAUUACAACCUUUCUUUUGGGAAAGGAAUACCCUUUGAUUCUAAUAUGAAUAAAUCGUAAUUUGAGGAUUUGGGUGUUUAUUUGAUUUUGUGACUGUAUCUAGGUAGAGCCCUAGAUUGCCUACGUACCCUCGUUGAGGGAUCAAAUCACUCGUAGUUCCUUAUGUGUUUUGUUGGGGUUUGACGCCUUGUGCAGUUUCAGCUCAUGCAGAUGAGGAUUUUAAGCCGUUGGAGCUUUAAUAAAUUUGAUAUGGUUUUAUGCCAUUCUGAAAUUUGAUACGGCUUCGUGCCAGUUAACAUAGCUUCGUGCCACUUGAGAUUUUGUUGCGGCUUCAUGCCAUUUGAUAUUUGACUUUUUCUUCGGCUUUACGGCUUCGUGCCAUUGAAUUGGCUUUGAGCCAUUUGAGGCAGCUUUGUCCCAUUUAAAGUGGUUUUAUGCCGCUUAAACGUUGAGUAAAAUUAACAGGUUUAUUUCUGAUAAACCCACUAAUAUUUUGGCAUUUGACUCUGGCUUGGUACCAUUUCUUACUCCAUGUUUAAUUUUACUUUUCCUUUUUCGUUUGCCCUUUCUUCUGACAAAUUUGUAGAGAAUCAUGCUUGGAAUAAAAAAAAAAUUUCCUCUGUUCCUUCAUGGGAUUUACUCCACAAGGGUUUUGUUCAAAGCAGCAGAAGUGAAUUUAGUUUAUACAAACCAGGGAUUCAUCUUGAUUUCUUGGUUGCGUCUAAAAUUUGAUAUCAGACUGCCUACGUAUCCUUAACGGAAUCAAACCGGCGUAGUUCGUAACUUUUGAGACUCAUCGCGGCUUUGUGCCAUUUGAUACUUGAUAUGGAUUCGUGCCAUUUGAAGUUUGACGGAGCCUUGUGGCAUUUGUGUCUUGUAAAUAUUUGUGAUGAACCCACUUUUACAUUGGUAUUUGACUUUGUCUUCCUUUUCAUUUAUUUUGUCUUGGAACCCAUUUUAUUUUGCCUACAAGCCCGUCACUCUAUUGUUGCCCUUUAUUUUUUUGCAUGGUAGCACAAAAAAAAUCCUUGCUUUCAUAUGGAAAAUAUAAAAGCAAGAGUCAAAGCUCCUUUAUUUUUACCAAUGCCUUUUUCAAGCUUUUAAGUCCCUUGCUUUUCUUCUUUCUUUAUUUUUCUUUUGUCAUUGCCGUAUGUCUCCCUAAGAACAACUCCACUUUUGGAGCCCUUUCUCCAUGCAAUCCACUAUUCAAUCCACCAUGUAAACAGUAAUUACCCUUAAUAAACAGUAACUACUUUUGUAUCUCAACCCUUGCACUUGAAUACCCUUGGCAAUAGGCAAUAAAAUAUUAAUUUUUAUAAUUAAUAUUAUAUUAUUUAAUUUGUACAAAUUAAUAUUAUAUUAUUAAUUUAUCUUUUCCAAUCUCUUCCCGAAACUUCUACCAUUUUUGUUUUCUUCUUCCUUCCCACUCUCUCACUCCCCUCUCCCUCAUUGUCUUCUUUUUUUUCUCCGGCCGACAGUCUACCUCCCCUCUCUCUUUUUCUCCCCCAUUUCUCCCUGUUUUCUUCCUCAAACGAGGAAGCUGCGAAUUUUGAGAGAGAGCAGCACCGAACCCACCCGCCUCCCGCCAUGUCUAAAUCCACUGAUGUGUCUUUCUUCCUCCUCAUGGUCCUCUGCGGCCAGGCCCAAAGAGGCCGCCUGCUUCUUUCCGACUUCAACCAAUCAACGUCAUCCGAUCUGAUCUCCGAUAGAGUCCACCACCACCACCGGUCCCACACCCUGGCUCCCUACCUCACUCUCGAGAACGCCCUUUCGGCGGAAGACUCCACCUGCAAGCAGACCUACGUUUUCCUGCCUUGCACCACCACUGUGAUCGACAACCUUUCCUAAUUCCUGACAGAAAAAAAUUAAAAAAAAGGACUGACGCCAGCCUGACGUCAGCCCCUACUCGGGCUGGCAAUUCCUCAUAGACCCUUUGCUCGGGCCUUGGCUGCUGCUUGGGCUUGCUCACGCUGGAGCUGGUCGACAGGGCCUUGGGCUCUUUCUUCUCCCCCCGUCCCUCGAGCAGGAGCUUCCGCUAAAGCUGCUCUAAUGGUUCGAAGAUGAUGGAAUCCAAUUUGAAAUGGCACAAGUUAAAUUUCCAUAAAGAACUCCCAUAACUUUAUUGACCCCUACGUGAGCAACUUUCCAUGUGAGGUGCUGAUUUCAGUUAGCAUUCUUCUUUGAUCUUUUCAAACCCAUUUAAACAUGGGACUUCGAACCUAUCUGACCUAAACUUCUGACCAAUCUGAGAGCAAGCCUUACUCUUUUCUUUGUUUGACUUCAAAGGUCUCCAAAUUCCAAUAAGACUUUAUCCCAUACUUUAAAUGGGGGAACCAUGACUUUCUUUUGUCUUCCACGACUUUCUUUUGUCCUCCACGUGAGUGGUUUUCUUGCUAUGAAGUAAAAGAAGACCACAUCAACAUUUUUUUAACUUUACUUUUGAUUUGACAAAAGCUUUUUGGUCUGGAACUCUUCUUCUCUCCUUAUGAGUUUUAAACAUUUUUUUUUCUUUGUCUUCAACCUUGAAUUUAGCUUUGCCCAACAUUUGACAAUAACUUACUUCAUCUUUGAGGUGCCACGUAUUUAGCCUUUUUUAAAAAAAACAAGCACUUUCUUUUGAGUUUUCUGUUUCCUGCAUGGAUUUGUCUUCACAGGGGUAAAACUAGUCUUCGACUAAAAUCACGAAUCAUCUUUUGCUUGUUGGAGAUUUUUUCUUCAAUUCCUAAUUUAAACAGGAAUUUGAAUGAAACUUGGUCAGUGGCAACUAGCGCCUAUUCUUCUUUGGCUGGGCUUUCUUUGGGUUUCUGUCUCAAUGAAGAACGCCAAAAGUUUUUGAAGAAGACCAUGGCCCGUCGACCGACAGAAGCUUCGGGACCAUAGCUGGGCAUGUUGGGUUCUUGUUCUCCACUUGUUCAAAUGUGCAGAGUGACGGCUUAUUCUCCGUUGCAUCUCUGAAAAGAGGAAGGGAGAUGUCGAAAACUUCUUUAGACACCCAAGAGGCUACAGGAGGUUGUGGGAAGACGAUUUGCUGCUGUGUUUUGAUGAAAUCUCCGUUGGACAUCACAAGUUGCAGGGUGUCGAUGAUGUUGAAGACAUGGCGCAGCUGCUGUCUCUGUUUGGGCUUCCGUCUAACGUCGGCGGUUUAUUGCAAUGUUGCCUUCAUUAGCUAUUUCACACCGCUGCCAUCUUCUUGCUCAAACCUUCGUCAAAUUUGUUGAUGGUCUGGACUGGCGUGCCCAACUACGUCACCUGGUUUCAUCACCUUCGGAUCACGAACUGCACUGCCCUUGGGCUUCUUCCGGAGGACUGACAGAGACGACGGUUGAAAAAUGGUGGUGUUGCCGUAGUGCAGUGAUCACCUAGACCUGGUUGGAACUUCACGGGGUGGUUUAGACCACCCCGAAGAAAUUCAUGGGACUGGGGAUGGGAGAGAAACAAAUUGUUUUUUUUUCUUCUUGCAAAGCCGAGAGAAAGCAUACAAAGAAAGAUUUAGAAGGAUAGAUUUAUACCUUUAAAUGCUUUGUAGCAUUUCCUGCUCUUUGUUCUUGCGGGUAGCACUUGAUAUCUUCUUCUUUUUUCUUCUUUUGUUUCUCUUUUGCCUUUGCUCUCUUGCUUUGCCUCUCAUUCUCUGUUGUCUUCAUUGCGCUUUUCUGUCUCUCAAUUUUUGCAGAGUACCCUUGUCUUUUUUUUUUUUUUUUCUCUUGCUGUAGUUGAUGCCUAUUUAUAGGCAUCCCAAGUAAAGGAUGAUACAUUCCUGAUCUCUUGGGAUUGUUUCCUGUUUCAUCAUGAUUUCCAGAUUUCCCUGUUUUAUUAAAACAUUCCCCUUAUGUAUUCUUUGUAGAUUAAUUAUACUUGUAAAUCAAGUCAUUGUACACUAUUUAAAUCAAUGAUAAUGCACCCUCUAGGGCAUCGAGGGAUUGAGCCAAAAUACCUUCUUUUGAGUUAUCUUUUAUGGUACUCAGAGCCAGUGACUAACGUCUUUUUUUUCUUUUCGGAUUCUUCCUACUCUUCUCCAUGGCUGCCUCAACCAGUUCGACUACUCCUUCCUCCGACAUCUUCCCUUCUGUUUCUCAUGCGAUCUCCAUCAAACUUGACUCUUCCAAUUAUCCUCUUUGGUUGGCUCAGUUGCUACCUGUUCUUCGCAGUCGUCAAUUGUUGGCUUUUGUUGAUGGUACUUCCAUCUGCCCCUCGGCGUUCUUGUCCGACGAUACCGGCAACGCCUCUUCCAAACCCAACCUCGCGUAUGCUGACUGGGUUCAGAAGGACCAGCUUGUUCUUUCUUGGAUCAAUGGCUCUCUUGGUCACCAGGCCCUCGCCGCCACUGCUCGUCAUUCCACUGCCCGUGAUGUUUGGGUUGCUCUUCAGCAGCGUUUUGCUUCUACAAACCAAAGUCGCAUUCUUCAGCUUCGUACUGCUUUCUUCCAGACCAAACGAGGUGAUUCUUCAAUUUCUGACUUUCUUGAUAAGAUCAAUGGUAUUGCCGAUCAAUUGGCCCUUGCCGGGGCACCUGUUUCUGCUGAUGACAUGGUGCCGGUCGUCAUGUCUAAUGUCGGCCCCAAAUUUGAGAACACUGUUGCUGCUGCUCAGGCCCGUGACAACCCCAUCUCCCUUUCUGAUCUUGAGGCUCUUCUUCUCGUUGCUGAACUCCGCCUUGCUGAUCCUCCUGCUCCGCCGGACUCCAGCGUCUCGGCCCUGGUAGCCUCCCGCGGCUCUUCUGCCUUUCAUGGCCGCUCCUCUUCUGAUCGCGGCGGCGAUCGUGGCUCUGGCCGUUUCUCACGUGGGGGUGGUCGUCCUCAACAUGAUGGGUCUCGCAACAAUGGUGGUGACGGCUAUCGUGGCUAUCGCGGUGCUGGUGGUUUCCAUGAUCGUCCGUUUCGCGAUCGUGGUGGUGGUCGUCCUCAGCACGAUGGCUCUCGCUUCCGUGGCUCCAACAAUGCUUCUGGGGUUCUUGGUCCAGCCCCAUAUCACGGUUCCUCCCGUCCUCGCUGCCAUAUUUGCAAUACUUUUGGUCAUGGUGCUCUUGACUGUGCUCAACGUCUUAAUUUGGCUUAUGAAGGUCGUCCUCCUUCUUCCCGUCUCACUGCCUUGACUGCUCAGCACUCCCAGCCUUGGCUCAUUGAUUCCGGGGCAAACUCGCAUAUCACCAAUGAUCUCAAUACUUUGUCUCAGUCCCGUGAUUAUCGUGGUGGUGAUUCCGUCGGUGGUGUCGUUGGCGGUACAGGUUUGCCCAUUAACCGUAUUGGCUCCUCCACUCUCUCUCAUAAUAAUAUUUCUUUCAAGCUUAAUGAUGUUCUUCAUUGUCCGGAUGCUUCUACUUCUGUGUUGUCUGCUAAUCGGUUUAUGUUGGAUAAUAAUUGUUAUAUUACAUUGUUUCCUUCUUGUUUCUAUAUUCAGGAUAUGGAGACGGGGACGAUUCUUUUUUCGGGCAAGAGUAGCAAUGGCUUUUAUCCCUUUUCCUCUUCAUCACCGACUGCUCAUGGUCGUGCUGCUUUUCUUGGUGUUCGUGUUGGUAGUGAUGUCUGGCACUCUCGUUUAGGCCAUCCAUCUUCUUCCAUUUUAAAAUUUCUUUUUUCUAGGCAUUCGAAUAAGUUGCCUGUUUCUGGCAACCUCAAUCUCAAUACUUUUAUGUGUCAUUCUUGUCCUUUAGGCAAAAGUGUUAAGUUACCUUUUUCUGCAUCAUUGUUUGUUACUCAAGCUCCUCUUGAGCUUAUUCACUCCGACGUGUGGAGUGCGUCCAAUAAAUCUGUUAGUGGUUUCCAAUAUUAUGUUCUUUUUGUUGAUAAUUUCUCUCGUUAUUCUUGGAUUUAUCCCAUGAAAUUGAAAUCUGAAGUCUUUAAUAUUUUUACUCACUUUAAGACCUUGGUUGAAAAUCAAUUCUCCACUAAAAUUAAGAUGUUUCAGUCCGAUGGUGGGGGCGAAUACACUAGUCACCAAUUCAAGAAUUUUUUUCUUCACCAUGGUAUUCAUCAUCGUCUCUCAUGCCCUCACCAUCCCGAACAAAAUGGUUUGGCGGAACGCAAACAUCGUCACAUUGUCGACACUGGACUUACUUUAAUGGCCCAUGCGUCGAUGCCUCCUGCCUAUUGGGCUAAGGCCAUGCACACAGCAGUUUAUCUUCUCAAUCGCCUCCCCUCUAAAGUACUUGGUUUUAUGUCUCCUUAUCAAAAGUUGUUUCUUAAGGAACCUGAUUAUAGUUUUUUAAAGACCUUUGGGUGUGCAUGUUUUCCCCACCUACGACCCUAUAAUAAUAAUAAACUCCAGUUUCGUUCUACUAAAUGUGUUUUUCUUGGUUACUCUCUCAAUCAUCAAGGUUCUCGGUGCUUAGACAUCUCUACUAACCGCAUCUUUUUAUCACGCCAUAUUGUGUUUGAUGAAGGUAAUUUUCCUUUCAAGGCCAUCUCUGGCUCUCUUGCCCCAUCCUCCCCGGCCUCGUCUCCUCCUCCUGUUUUAGAAAUCACUGGGCCUCUUCCGCAUGCCCCCCGACCGUCUAGCAGCCAACCGGUGGUUGUGUCCCCCUCUUUGGAGACUCAUCAAUCCAGUCCAUCAUCCGACCCACCACAGCCGGCCCUACAGGUUUACUCCCGUGACCCUCACAGGCGGGUUCUUUCUUUUGCACAAGCAGCAACCCCAUCUGUCACUCCCAGGCCCACGCCUGCUGUUGCCUCUGCAGUUCAACCUGAUGCGCCUCCCGAGGCUCCAUCUGCUGCUGUACCACCUGCCGUGCCCUCUACUUCCCAUGGUAUGCUCACUAGGUCCAAAACGGCUUCUCUUAAGCCUCAUAAAUAUGUUUUUUCUGCUGCCAUUUCUUCUUCUACCGGUCCUAUUGAGCCUACUUGUUUUAGUCAGGCCAACACUUUUCCCGAAUGGCGUACUGCGAUGGCCGAUGAAUUUAAUGCACUUCAACGUGCUGGUACUUGGACUCUUGUUCCUCGUACCGCUUCUAUGAAUAUUUUGCCAAACAAAUGGGUGUUUCGUAUUAAACAGAAUUAUGAUGGGUCUAUUCAGCGGUAUAAGGCUCGUUUGGUAGCCAAUGGUUUUCAUCAGCAACCCGGCCUUGAUUAUGGUGAAACUUUUAGUCCUGUUGUCAAUCACUCUACUAUUCGCUUAAUUUUGGCUCUUUCAGUUCAGUUUCAAUGGCCUGUUCGUCAGUUGGAUGUUCAGAAUGCUUUUCUUCAUGGCUCUUUGUCUGAGGAGGUCUAUAUGCACCAACCUCGUGGCUUUGUUGAUCCACAGUUCCCUCAUCAUGUGUGCCGCCUUCGUCGUUCUUUAUAUGGGCUCAAGCAGGCGCCCCGUGCAUGGUUCCAAUGUUUUUCCACUCAUUUGGAAGAUUUGGGUUUUCGUCCCUCUACUGCGGAUCACUCGCUUUUUACCUAUAUUCAUGGCUCUACUCGCAUUUAUCUCUUAAUUUAUGUUGAUGAUAUUUUGGUCACCGGGAAUAAUCCCUCAUAUUGUCACCCUCAUUAAGAAUUUGGGCAUCCGUUUCUCUAUGAAGGACCUUGGACCGGUUCAUUAUUUCUUAGGCAUGGAGGUGGUCCGCACUCCAUCAGGUCUCUCUCUUUCCUAACAAAAGUAUGCCACUGACCUACUUCACCGCACCAAAAUGCAUGGUGCUAAGCCGGUUCCUACUCCUGCCGUUAGUGGGCGACGGCUCAGUCUUCAGGAUGGUGACCCUCUGCCGGAUCCUAUUGAAUACCGAAGUGUUGUCGGCGCCCUUCAAUACUUGACUCUCACUCGUCCCGACAUCAACUUCGCCGUCAACCAAGUCUGCCAAUUUCUUCACCAGCCGACUUCUACUCAUUGGGCCGCCGUCAAACGCAUUCUUCGUUACCUUGUCGGCACUACUUCUCACGGUCUUACCUACAAGCCUGGUUCCUUUCGUCUUACAGCAUUUUCCGAUGCCGAUUAUGCCGGGAUCCUGAUGAUCGGCGUUCCACCGGGGGCUAUUGCUUGUAUCUGGGUUCCAAUCUUGUCUCAUGGAGUGCCAAGAAACAAAAUGGGGUCUCUCGGUCCAGCACUGAAGCCGAGUAUCGUCAACUUGCAAUCACCGCUGCCACUCUUUCAUGGUUUCGUAUGCUGUUCCGUGACCUCCAGUUUCCUCUACAUUGUCCUACACUGUUUUGUGACAAUAUCAGUGCUAUAUCCCUUGCUUCCAACCCGGUGUUUCAUGCCCGCACUCGGCAUGUUGAGGUGGAUUACCAUUAUGUUCGUGAAAAGGUUGUUCGCAAGGAGAUUGAUGUUCGUUAUCUUUCUACUCAUGAUCAGAUUGCUGACUUCUUCACCAAGGGCCUUUCUCUUCCUCGUUUUCGACUUCUGGUUUCCAAGCUUCCUGUACUUGAUUGUACUGUCAGCUUGCGGGGGCGUAAAGGAUGAUACAUUCCUGAUCUCUUGGGAUUGUUUCCUGUUUCAUCAUGAUUUCCAGAUUUCCCUGUUUUAUUAAAACAUUCCCUUUAUGUAUUCUUUGUAGAUUAAUUAUACUUGUAAAUCAAGUCAUUGUACACUAUUUAAAUCAAUGAUAAUGCACCCUCUAGGGCAUCGAGGGAUUGAGCCAAAAUACCUUCUUUUGAGUUAUCUUUUCCCAAGAAGGCUCUAGAAUUUGUUACGUGGGGGAAGAUGGAGACCAUGACCUCCUGCCACUUUCUGUUAACCCCCUUUUCUGACUCCACGUUUCUUUUUGUUGCAGAAAAUGGGGGAGCACCUGUUUUUUGCACGUUACUUCCCCCCUUAUGUAGGAAAAAAAUUAUAAAUUUUUUAUUUAUUCCUGAAUGUAUUUGUAUGUAAAGCUCAUCCUCAUCUUUUGGGUUGGAUUACAUUUUUGUUUUACCUUGAAGUUUGACUCAAUUUGAAUGGACUUUAUUUUUUCAUAUUUUUUUUGUUCAACAAGCGUAGUUUUCUUUUUCUUUUUCUCUGUGAAAUAUAUAGUAUGAAGAGGGUGGAAAUGGGUCGGGGCUUACAUUUCCUUCACUUUCUGCCAAAAGAUUGUUCCGAACCACACUGAUAGAGCGAAAAUAAACGCGAAACGUGCUAGAUUGUACUUUGGACUUCUCCAGUGGGACAAGUGUUGUUUCCACAGACAUGCCUUAAACUGCACCCAGCUAUUUUGAGCAAAAGGAGUGGGAAGGUUCAAGCCCCUUGAACCCGGCUUUGGUUCGCUCAACCGGCUAACCAACUCGACCGUGUCUCUCUGAAAAAGAAGGAAACAAACAUAUAAAUUUGAUGAUUGAAAUAAAUACAUGAUUAAUCCUAAAAUAAUGGAAAUAUUAGAGAUAUGCCCUUACCUAUACUGAGUAGAGGGUUUAUAAAUUUCAGCAAAAUCUAAACAAAGUUUUGCCUCUACUGAGGCAGAAGUAACUUCUAACAUCCAAGUUGCUGGAUUGUAAUUUUCUUUGAUCUUUGGUACAUCACGAAUAUCCUCAAAAUAUUUGACGAGUUUACUCGAGUGAUGACCGAGAACUCCAGAAUAGAUGAUUUGGCCUCCCCUUUUCAUCAAAAGUAACUGCAAAAAUCAAUGUCUUCCGUUAGUGAUCGAGUGGCUUUUAUGAUUUGGUUUAGUUUUCUUGGACUCCAUGACAAUGCUCGUUAUACUACCUCGUCAAAUGACUGAAAAAUAUCAAUGCUUGGCUUGUGGAUUGUGCAAACAGUUGUCCUUCCUGUGGAAACAACAUUCUUUACUACGCAAAUGGCAAUUGCAGCUGCUCUGGCGUCUAAGCCUGACGUAGGUUCAUCCAUAAAUAUUAUUGAUGGGUUGGAUACAAGCUCCACUGCAAUUGUUAGCCUUUUGCGCUGUUCAGUAGAUAGGCCAGUUUGUCCAGGAAUGCCAACUAAGGAAUCUCUUAUAUCCUCCAGUUCAAUCGUUUGAAUGACUUCCUCCACAAAUUUCUGCAUAGAUUAAGCAAAGGAUACUUUCUUUUAUAUGUUCCAGGAAAUUUGCAUAUUAUUGAUAAAUUGAAAGAAUAUCAUCCUACAGCUUUUAUGUCUGGAUCAGUUUCGUGUGGCAACCUCAACCAAGCUGAGAACAUAAGCGAUUCUUCUACCGUGAUCUGUGGAGAAUGUAUAUCAGUCUGCUCGCAGUAUCCUGAUAUUCUUGCAAAUGUCUUCUGGACCUUGGGGUACCCUCCGAUUCUUAUAUCUCCCACGAUACUACCUCCUGUUUCCCUUCCAGAAAGAACAUCCAUGAGAGUUGUUUUUCCAGCCCCAUGCGGUAGGAAUUCCUGGACUGAAUGCUCCUGUUAUAUCUUUAAGCAACUGAAGCUUUUUCUCCUUGAAAGCAUGCUGUCUCAUUUCCUUUUUUAAGAAGGAAUGAAGUUAAAAUACAACUAAAUAGUUUUCCAAUGAUACUAAUAUGUGAAAAUUGACUAAUGAUUUGAUUAAUUACCGGAGGUGUAUCAACAUAAUACUGCACGUCCUUAAAUGAGAUUGUCAGUGGCUCGAACGGCAGGACCAUUCUCCCUGUUUAACAAAUUGAUUUACUCUCGAAUAAUUCAGUUGUUAAAAAAAUUCCUUGCUCGUUGCUUUGAAUGGAAAAUGUGAAACUGAUAACCCGGAUAAACUGGAUGCAACAAUUCAUCUCACCUAGUGUUAUCUUUUCUCCCAUGGUUUUGAAUAAAUCGGAUAGAGUUGAUUCAUUUUCCAACGGUGCACCAGUUUGGGUUAAUAUUUAACAUUGGGCUUAUAGGAGAGAAAGCCCAAAAGAGUUCAAUAAGAAGAGUUUCGUCCGAAGCCCAGCACCAAGCCCAGACCGUCCAUCUCAAGACCAAUUGGCACUCUCCUAUUAAUGCAAAGGCUAAGUGCUUACAAGAGAAGUGACAACUGAUGAAAAUCAACCUACUCUCAGCCCAAAAGUACUUUUCAGUGGCAAUACAAGUAAAAUAUUGAUGAGUCACUACCAUUCAAUUGCUUUUGGGUAAGAACAAAGCUACAAGCGGUCGGACUAAUUCGUUUAUAAAAGGAGGAAGAGGGCUCAGAGACAAGGACACUCAAUCAAUCAAACAUACAACUUGUCUCUCAUCCAAGCAAAUACCCAGAAAGCUGUGCUUUGUCCAGACUCUGCACCCUUUUAGCCUUAGAUUUCCUUAGAAAGACAUCUUUUUUCUAUGUAAAAGCUCUGCUACAUUUUUCUAAAUGUUGUAGUAUCGAUCCCUCGUGUAUAAACUCGUUUCCAGUCAUCUCCUUUAGUACUCAAUUCUUUUGUAAACUGCAAAGAGAAGAGAUCGCAAGGCGUUUAACCUUGCUUGACAAAGUGAAAUCUUGCCCAACUCUCUUUGUUUUUAUCUUUCAAUUAACAAAUAUGGUGUUAUAAUGUAUUCCGUAGUUUAUAUUCAAGUUAUUUCCAGUCCUUUGAUGACCCAAAGCCCCAUCAGUUCUCAGAUCUGGUUCACUUAGUGGUUUUAUCAAGAAUUGAAAUGAAUUAAACUGAUGACUUGAUCAGAUCUAAGCCUUCACCCCUCAAGCAUACAAAAUAACUAAAAGUCUUUGAUCUCAAGGCAUAGAAAAUAACUUAAUGUAGACUUAAUCCAUCUACAACAAUCCUUUGAUAAACAAGAAGUCAGAAAUAACUUGGGGUGCAAGUAAUCGGCUUAAAACACACUUGUUCUACAUCUGCCAUACAGAGAUGGCAGUGGCACGCCUAAGCACCUAGUUAGUUUUGAAUGCGAGCCUCAAGGCCUAUACCUAAGGCCCCACAAAGGCACCUUUCAGAACUAACUUUGUUUUCCUCUUGCAGUAUUGUGACAAGCAGGAGCCCAACAAUCAACCAAAGUGCCAACUCCUCGGGCAGCUGUGUGCUCGAGCCAGGAACGCCCACCAACCAGAUUUCCUGCCCAAAAAGCACCAGUUUUGCGAGCUCCCCUUCUUCAAAGUUGAGAUAAUCUUUUUUUCGAAACAAUAGCCCGAUACACCUUUGGAGCUGUAUGAGGAAAAGCUUAAGUAAACUGAUGUGGAGCUGUAUGAGGAAAAGCUUAAGUAAACUGAUGAAGUGGAUUGUAAUACUUAAGUUAUCAUCUGUCAAUUAAAAUGAAUCUAAGUAAGUUAAUGCUAAAAUAAAUCCAAGAUCAGACAGCAUUGUGAACCCGAGUAAUGCUCCUACUGAUAUCCAAUAGAAAUAGCCAUCAAAGUUCAAACCAUGCCUGGUUAGAACUUUAUUCCCUAGGGUUGUGUUUCCCUCUGAGACCUAAAGAAAUGAAUUAACACUGUCAAAACACUUAUUCGACUUCGAUGAUCGGGUACUAAAAAAGUUUAUCAUCUUGAGUUGUACCUUUUGCCAGCGAGGAGCGAGGAACUCGUUUAGAGUUGUACCGAUUUCCCCAUAAGUCAUAGGUGAACACCAGAAUAGUCAACGCAACCAAGGAGGUAAAGAGGCUGCAAAACACCCCUUAUUAGUCUAGUUGUAGUUGAAUGUAACUAAAGGAAAAAUACGAUAAAUGGACUUACAUCGUGGCAAGAUGAAGCCUCCGGAUAAAAACAUUAGCACUAGGAUUAAAAUACCGCAAGUUGAUGCAACAACCAUAGUUUGGAAAACUACAGCAAUUAAACGACAUAUGGAUGUCGAUGCUUGAUGGAGAGCAAAUAGCACAAGGAACUGGAAGAAGAACCUAAAAACCAUAGCAUAUUCUUGAGGCAUUAUUAUGAUUAUUGUUCAAGCCUUUCAUGUUCUGUCGUGUGACUAUAAAGUUGAGAUCUUACGUUUUUAUGUCUGGAGCGUACCCAAUCAAAUGGUAAGUUAUUGCUGUCCACAGCAGUGAAUCAAUCACUGAAAAUGGAACCUUCAGGAUAGACUGGAAGAGAAUACGCCCAUGCUGGAUACAGAUUGAAUCCUCUUUGCUUGUAAACCACUGGUAAUCUAGUAACAGUCACAGCUCUGCAAUUCCGUUGGUCAUAAGUCGAAUAAGUGUAUAAAACAAUGAGUUCAUAAAAAAACUUGCAUUUAUCAAAUCCACGGUCCUACGGGUGCUUAUACAGAUUGCCAUUGUAAUAAAUGCAGUGAUGACAAGCUGUGGGAAAAAAAGAGAGAAAAUAUAGUAAGUGAUUUUGAGUUUAACUUCAGAAGUACAACCCCUAAAAGUGAUAUCAUUAGGCAGUAAACCUGAGCUGUUUUGAAUACGUAGAGAAAGGAAUUCCGUUUCAUGAGAAGAAGCUCUCGGGCCAUACAACCUUUGAACAACUCCCAUUUGCUCACAGAGUAAGUACUAAAUGAUAAGGCAUUAUCAUGGCACUGUGAUUUAUUGUAUGGUUUUGAGAGCUCAUCGUCUAAUUUCUUCCCCGAGUAACUUGCUCUGAAAAGUUCAAAAAAUUUGUUUGCAGAAACAUGACCGUAGGGAAUGUUAUCAUGCUUCCAGUAUUGUGCUUGAUCCUUCUUUGAGAUCACCUCUUGAAGGAAAUCUGCAGCACCCUUUCUUGGUGGGCACUUGAAACCAGAGUCUUCGAAAAACUCAACUGCGUGGCUGCGAUGACCGUGGUAAACUAUCUUCCCCUCUGCCAUUAGUAUUACAUCAUAAAAAAUAUCAAUGGUCUCGGGUGCUGGUUGGAGAAGUGAUACCAAUGCAGUUGUAUCUGUGAUAUGCACCAGCUGCUGAAGAUAGGUAACUAUCUGAAAGGUUGUAGAACUGUCUAAUCCCGUUGAUAUCUCAUCCAUAAAAAGAGCUUUUGUAGGACCUACAAUCAUUUCUCCUGAAGAUUAAACAGAAGAGGAAUGUUAUGUUUGAAACAUUUUUCUACAUGGGAAUUAGUAAUUACAUUCAAAUUUCCCUCGGAUUCAAGAUUUCACUACCGGUUGUCAGCCUUUUCUUCUGGCCACCAGAAAUGCCUCUUCUUAAUGCAUCACCAACCAUUGUGUCACUCACUACACAUACCCAGUCCAAGUAUCUAAAGAGAUUCCAAAAUAUCGUAAUUCAUUUUUCCUGUCCGAGUGAGUUAGAAAUGUCACGUUUGAACUACUUAAUGUCAGCAUUGUCCAUGUCCAACACUGGUUGGAGAAAAAUUUACCUUCAAAACAUAAUCGGUUUGGAGAUUUUCCCUUUGUCCUUCAACUGAAAUGGCCUGUGAGUAUUAUGUAAAUCUCUAAAACCUCUAACACAAAAGGGUGGUAAGAUUUACUAAAAGGAAUGUUAUGAGACUUUACAAUUACCUUCAUGUAGGUGUCAAUAUCUGGAUCGGGGACUAUUCCUGCUUCUUUUUCCCUUCUGCUGAGCUCCAUUAUUAUAUAUGCAUAAAAUACGAUCGAAAUUAAACUUCAUACGUCAAUAGAAGUACACGACUAACCCAAUAGUAAAUGCAAUAGGGGAUAAGGAAUAUGCACCAGCUCUACUGCCAACACCCUGGCAGCGGGAGGAAAAGUCAAUUGUUUCCCUCAGUCAUCUCAGGCAGGUGAAGGUCAUGCUGGCUAAUGUAAGCUGAUGUUUUUUGGGGAACAAACUCAUCUAGCUUGUAACCAUUAUAAGUGUUGUAAACUGAAAUAGAAAGGAACGAAGUUACCUAAAAAAAUGUAGAAGCCUUGAGUGGUGAAUGAUUAUUGGGAUGAGUUGCGGACUAAGUCGCUUUCUUUAAGACGUUUCGCGGCUCUACCCAAAGUGUGCAAGCAGUUCACAAACACCACAUCGUCCUAGGAUAAAACAGCCCAAAACCUUCUUCUUCUUCUUCUGAUAAAGUUCUUCCUUGUACAGUAGAAGAACCUUCGAAUUCACAUUCUCUCAAUAUGUUGCUAACCAAAACUAUAUAUUAGAAAAUAUAUCUUCUUUUUUUUCCGCAUACUUUCAAUGAUCCAGGGACUACUAUAUAUACAUUUAGACGAAAGAGAUGUUGAGGGUUUGAGAAAAUUGAAAGCAGGACAAAAUCAAAACGUAAGUCAAAUAAAACGGUUUGAUUAUGUAUCAUGACAUGAUCUUCUUCUCUAUACAAAGAAGGAAUGGCACGUUUCAAACUUAAAAGGAGAUAACUCCUUACCUAAUUGAAAAGUCAAAAUCAAUUGGCAGUUAUGCAUAGAAUAUUGGUAAUAAAACAAAACGUUAUGUAUAUAAUAUUGGUAAUAAAAUAAAACAUAAAUAUAUUUAAAUAUUUAAAUAAAAACAUAUUUACUCAACAAUCCCCCACUUGUUUUUGUUUAAAACUAUACAUCAAGCAAUAUAUCGUAAAGCUAUACAGAAGUAAAUGUGUUUCUCAACUUAAAUCUAUACAUAGUGUUAGUGAUCGAGAUUAUACUAGAGUAACUUAUAGUUUUGAACUCUAUCCCUAACAACACCACACACACAACUUUAUUAAGGUGAAGUUCAAAAAGCCAGCACAUUACAACCAUGUGCUUGUAUCCCAGUAUAGUGAACGCUCUAGAAACUUGCUCAAGAUUUCAUAGGAAGCGGCAUCACUUCCACAUUCACAUAGUUAAGACUAUCAAGGUAUUCCUGUAGCUAGAUAUCUCACUUAACAUAGAGUAUAGACCUUACUAAGAGAAAAAAAAAUCUCAACCUAAAUACGCUUCAGGAUGUCAUGCUUCUUAGGGAUGGACAUGGAAUAAUAUUCCAAACUAAAAUUAGCAAGACUUCACUCUUAUCACUUGUGACUUGUUAUUACCCUUUGAACCUAUUUCUUGGGAUCUCUAGUCUAUAGGUUGGGUUGCUAUCACAAAUAACUCAAUUCUCUAGGGCUUUAGUCCCAUCCCUUUCGAGGUUUUCCAAACCUUUUCUCGUGCUAGUCCUUUUGUCAAAGGAUCAACCAAGUUUUCUUCAUACCGUAUAUGAUCCACUCUCACAGCUCCAUUAGACAGGUAAUCUCUUACAGUGAUGUGCUUACGACGUAUUUGUCGCCCUUUCCCAUUAUAAUAAUGAUUUUGCACUUUAGCUAUUGCCGAUGUGCUAUCACAAUGGAUCAAAACUGCUGGAAUCGGUUUCUCCCAUAAAGAGGUAUCUGACAGUAGGUUUCUCAACCAUCCUGCUUCUUCGCUUGUCGUAGCUAGCGCUAUUAAUUCUGACUCCAUAGUGGACUGAGCCAUGAUAGUAUGUUUCUUAGACUUCCAUGAUACAACCCCACCACCAAGACUAAAAAUACAUCCACUAGUGGCUUUAGAGUCAUCUGAAAGGGUAUUCCAAUCAGCGGCACUGCAACCUUCUAGGACAGCGGGAAACUUCUCAUAGUGUAAUCUAAAAUUCAUUGUCCUUUUAAGGUAUCUCAUAAGCCUAUCUAUGGCAUGCCAAUGCUCCAAACUAGGUCUACUAGUAAACCUGCAUCAAACUCCUACGACAUAAGAUAUAUCAGGCCUAGUGCAAUCAGUAGCAUAACGAAUGCUACCAAUAAUACUCGCAUACUCAGAUUGUUUAACACUGUCACCAAUGUUCUUGAACAAUUUUACACUAGGAUCAUGAGGAGUACAUGCUGGUUUACAAUCAAAAUAAUUAUACUUUCUUAAAAUUGUUUCUAUGUAGUGAGAUUGAUCUAAAGAAAACCCAUGUUCAAACCUAGUUAUUUUCAAACCAAGUAUUACGCUAACUUCACCCAAGUCUUUCAUAUCAAAAUUAGCAGAUAACAAAGAUUUGACAUUAUUCACAACAUGAAUAUUCGAACCAAAAAUAAGCAAAUCAUCCACAUAUAGGCAUAUAUUACUUUCAGACUUAUAAUAGAUGCAUUUGUCACUUUCAUUUAUUUUAAAACCAUUUGAAGUAACCAAACUAUCAAAUUUUGCAUGCCAUUGUGUGGGAGCCUGUUUCAAUCCAUAAAGUGACUUAUUUAACUUGCAAACUUUAUUUUCUUUUCUUGGAAUAAUAAAACCUGUGGUUGACCCAUAUAUAUUUCUUCCUCUAAUUUACCAUUUAAGAAAGCUGUUUAACAUCCAUUUGGUGCACAACAAGAUCAUGAAUAUAAGUUAAGGCAAACAAUACACGAAUAGAUGUUAUUCUAGUCACAGGUGAACAAAUAUAAAAGAAAUCAAUCUUUUCUCUUUGUCUAUAGCCUUUGGCAAUAAGUCGGGCUUUAAAAUUUUCAACUGAUCCAUCAGGUUUUAAAUUUUUUUUAAGAAUCUAUUUGCAACCUAUUGUUUUGCAACCAGGUGGAAGAUCCACCAAGUGCCAAGUUUGAUUUGACUCCAGGGAGUCCAUUUCAUCAUUUAUAACUUCUUGCCAAAAAAUUGCAUCUAAAGAAGUUAAAGCUUCUUGAAUUGUAUUAGGAUCUUCUUGUAAGUUAUAUACAUGGAAAUCAGGGCCAAAAUCUUUAGCUAUUCGAGCUCUUUUACUUUUCCUAGGUUCUAAUGCAGAUUGACUAUGUUUUACAACAUUAGGUUCAUAAAUUUUAGAAGAAUUAGAACCCCCACUAUUUUGAAGAUUAAAAGGAAAUUUAUUCUCAUAAAAAUCAGCAUCAAGUGACUCAAUUAUGACAUGGUUUUUCAAAUCAUAACAUCUAUAUGCUUUGCUAUUACAUGCAUAACCAAUAAAAACACAUUCAUAUGCUCUACUAGCCAAUUUCGAUCUUUUUGGACCAAGUUUACGAACAUAAGCUAAACAACCCCAAGUUUUGAAAUACAAUACAUUUGUUUUCUUAUUUUUCCAAAUUUCAUAAGGAGAGAUAUUCGAUUCUGAGGUAGGAAUUCUAUUUAAUACAUAACAUAUAGUCAACACAAUUUCACCCCACCAAUAAGAAGCAGCUCCAGAACUAAGUAGCAACACUCAAUUCGCAAAGAGUUCGAUUUUUUCUUUCCGCUUUACCAUUCAUUUCAGGAGAAUAAGGAGCAGUAGUUUCAUGAAUAAUUCCAUUAGACUUAAACAAAUUAACAAAUUCAAUGGAUUCAUAUUCUUGUCAUCUAUCACUACGAAAUCUUUUAAUCUUAUGAUUAAACUGAUUUUCAACUUCAGUAAAGAAAGUUUUGAACAUGUCAAUAGCUUUACUUUUAUUUUUCAUAAGAUAGACAAAACAGUAAUUCAAACAAUCAUCAAUAAAGGUAAUAAAAUAACGUUUUCCAUUUCUAGUUAACACUCUAUCAAAUUCGCAUAUAUCAGAAUGAAUUAAGUCAAGUGGUUCAGAUUCUCUAUUGACAGAUUUAUGUGAAGUUCUAGUGAUUUUAGCUUGACUACAAUAUUCACAUUUUUCAAAAUCAGUCAACGAUAAGUUAGGUAAAAAGCCUAAGUUACUCAUGUUCUUAACCAAGAGUUUGUUAACAUGACAAAGUCUAGCAUGCCAAGUAUUAAAAGAAGACAACAUGUAAUCAGAAGUAGACAUUUUAUCAACAUUCAAUUUAAACAUUCCAUUAGUAGCAUAUCCCUUUCCCACAAAAACCCCAUUUCUAGUAAGAGUAUACGUAUUUGCUCCAAACGUUUGAGUGAAUCCAGCCUUGUUGAGAAGUAAGCCUGAGACCAAAUUCUUCCUUAUUGUUGGAGCAUGCAUCACAUCUUUCAGUAUCAUGGGUUUUCCAGAGGUGAACUUUAACUCCACCUCUCCAGUACCAGCAACAUCAGUUGAGUGCGAAUCACCCAACAACACAUUUCUUCCCUCAGCCAUAGAAUAGGUCUUGAAAAGAGAACGAUCGUAGCAAGCAUGGGGAGAAGUGCCAGUGUCCACCCACCACCCACCACCCCUCGGACUAAGUUGAUUUCUGAUAUCAUUGCAAUUAGUUGCUCUUCAACAAGAUUUGUUUGAGAAGCAAAGUUUUCCUUAUAAUGCAUGGCAGAUUGAAUUCAUCUUAAAAUUGUUGUAAACUGAAAUAGAAAGGAACGAAAUUACUCAAAAAAAAUGUAGAAGCCUUGAGUGGUGAAUGAUUCUUGGGAUGAGUCAGGGACUAAGUCACUUUCUUUAAAACAUUUUGCGGCUUUGCCCAAAGUGUGCAAGCAGUUCACAAACACCACGUCGUCCCCAGGAUAUAACAUCCCAAAACCUUCUUCUUCUGAUGAAGUUCUUCCUUGCACAGUGGAAGAACCUUCGAACUCACACUCUCUCUCAAUAUGUUGCUAACCAAAACUAUAUAUCAGAAAAUAUAUCUAUUUUUGUUCCGCAUACUUUCACUACUAAAUAUACAUUUAGACGAAAAAGACGUUGAGAGUUUGAGAAAAUUGAAAGCAGGAAUAAAACGGUCUUAGGUCCGAUUCUCGCCGAAGGCGAAUUUGAACCACUAAACCGUAGCACUAAGUGGCUCCUAACAAUGUCUCUUAACAAGUUUAGAGGUAUUUGUCUUCACUAAUAAAUGAAAAGCGUUUGAAUUUCAUGAAUGACAAGUGCAAUACAAAAUUCAAAUUAUCAUGGUUCUUCCAUUAUAUGAUUUAACCAAAGCAUACCAUCUCUUAGUGUAAAUAUAUCAUUGAACUAUCAUUGAAGUAGUUCCAACAUUCGUAUACCAUCUUAAUUAUCAAUUUACUAUUACAAAAUUUCUAUUAAUUUUUCUUUACAAACUAAAGUGUUAUUAGGCUAAGUUGUUAAAUAUUAGGAGAUGAGUAGGGAUCGACCCACCGCCAAAGUACAUAUAUAGGUAUUACUGUUUUCUGCUACUAUGAUAAAGUGUAAUAUACUUCUAUAUAUUAAAAGAAAAUUCACUGAUACAUUUCCACAUGUAAACAUUCAACAUUGGACAUAUAUAAUAUUUUUCCCUACUUCUUUGGAAAUUUAAUUUUCCAAUGCAAUAGGCAAAUAGGGAAACAAAGACAAUCCCAACUGGGAAAGCAAUGAGAACAAGAGCCACAAGGCCUAAACAAUCAUGGUGGAAACCAUAAUAAUCUUGUAGGAUUAUUUUCUAUUUAAAAAACGUAUGUGAACAUACACAUUAUUUUCUAUUAUAAUAUGUGUAAGUUUAUGAAGGGAAAUAUUCACUAAAAUGAUCAAAAAUCAAAUUCUGAUGCCAAAACAAAAUCAAAUAUUGUCAUACUGAAAAACUAAUCAUUUCAACAAAUGAGAUUCAAAUAUUUGAUUAUUUUGGCCAAUUUUCCUGUAUUGAUACCCUAACCUAAAGUAUAAAUUACUUGCACAUCCAAAUUAUAACACAUGAAUUAACAACACUCCGUCAAUUAGACUUGUGUUACAUGUAUUUACACGGUUAUUGUCAUUCCAAGUGCUCAAAUGCUAAUGGAGUUACACAAAACCAUCAAAUAUUAGAAAAGAUUGGAUUCAAGAUAUACUAAGUAUAAUGUACAGAAUGUUGCAUAUAAAGUACCAGAAAACUUUAGUAGGUGACCAAGAGAACCCUAUUGCAGGAUAUGCAACGGCUACAUACAAAACUUGUAACAUUGUAUAAUGUAUUUUAAUGGCAACAUGCAACAUUUAACACUUUACACUAUAUUUGGAUGAGGAAGUUUAAGAUUGCUAAGGAAAUUUAAAGUAACGGAAAUUGAAAUGAUGGAAUUUUAUUUUAUAGAAUAUGUGAAUUUUCUUGUUUGGUUGAGGAAAAUAAACUUGGAAUUUAGAUAAAAGUCAGAAUUUGUAAAUUGACAUGCACCAGUUUCCUUGUUUGGAUUCAUAAACAUAUAUAGGAAUUUAGAAUUUUCGGGUGAAAAAAAAACUUGGAAUUUGGGACCUCCAAUUCCCAAGUUUAAAUUCCAUGUAAAUAUGUAUCAUUUCCCAAUUUCUAUGAUUGAGUGCUUAAAAAUAACAAAUUCCGUAAUCAAUUCCAUUUAUUUUUAGGUUAACCAAACAAGAGAAUUCACAAAUUCUAGAAAAUAAAAUCCUGUCAAUUCAAUUUCCGUCAUUUUAAAAUUCCUUAGUAAUCUUAAAUUUCUUCAUCCAAACAUAGUGUUAAGAACAAUGGAAUUUGAAAUGAAAUUUGUUAUUUUAAACCCUCAUUCAUGAAAAUUCAGAAAUGACACCAAUUUACAUAGAAUUUAAAAUGGGAAUUAGAUGUCCCAAAUUCCAAGUUUUUUUCUCAUGCAGAAAUUCUAAAUUUCUAUGUUUAUGAAUCCAAACAAGAGAAUUGGUACAUGUUAAUUUUUAAAUUCCAGCUUUUAUCAAAAUUCCAAGUUUAUUUCCCUCAUCCAAACAUAGUGUUAGUUUAAAACUGUGAAGAUUUUGAUUUAUCGAUUACAAACUAAAUAAGUACUUGAAUUCUUAGGCACUUCAACGUAUGAACUUGUGCAAAUGAACAAGGUCGGCCCUGAGAUUUUGAAGGCCCGAGCUAAGCUACCAAAUAGGAGCCCUUUAAUUCUUAGGCACUCCAAUUGGUUGUAGGUUCAUAUACAUUUUAUUUUUAUAGUAAAUACUCAUUAAUUUAUUAUUAUAUCGUACUCUUAUUUAAUUAAUAAUCAACAAUAUGCUAAAGUUUUAAGAAGGUGUUUGGACCCAAAAUUACAUCAUCGGCCCGUGCAAUCAAGGCCGUUGAGUAGGCAUAGCUCUCAAUCGUCGGAUAAAAAAGCAGAGAUAAUUUUGUUAUUAAAGGAUAAUAUUAUGGUUUUUAUCAUAAUUAUCUUUUAAUGAUUUAUCUCGACAUCUUCUUAUGAAAGAGGGAAAAUAUAUCUCCAAGCUGGAAACACGCAGCACAAUUCAAAGCGAUUUGGAUGUUUGGCGUGUGGAUGUGGUUUGGAUCGGUUUUAGUUGACAAAUAUGCAUGCAUGUGAUAAGGGUGAAGUAAAAAUGGUGAUAUGCUUUGAAAAUGAGUCUACAUGUGUUGGUGAUAAGAUGGCAGCAACUGCCUUGCUGACAAUUAACAUUGGGUAUUUUAUGCUAAAUCAUGCAUAUUGGUAUAUGCUUUUGUAUUGUGGGCCAGCAUAUGUUUUUUUUUUAUGGAGCCAAAUUCAUUUAACAAUGGAUAUUUGGAACAAUAAGAAGUUUAAGUAGGCAUAGGCCUUUGAGAGUUUGAGUUUCAGUUGGUUUCUACGAAAUCAUCAAGGCCACGCCAAGCGGGAUCAUGCAUAUUUGAAAGAGAAUAUUCCUAUUAUUUUGCAACUUACGACGGCAAUCUUACGGUUAUAGAGGCAAUGACAACAUAAAGGUGGUAUUUCGAAUUCAACACACAAACUGCCAUGCACAAACUCUUGCUCUACGCGAAACCUCUUAACAACCUUGAGAUUUUUAUUUUCCUUUUUCGCCAACACAUCUUCAGUUUGGAUAAAUAGCACUAUGAAGGCAACCGGUGAACAUCUUCACUUUGGAUAAACAAUACUAUAACCGUAGAACCAUUCGACCAUGAAGCACCUUUAGUUUGGAUAAACAACAUUGCUCCGAGACCGAUUGAUUACCUAUCCAAGUCUCGGUCAAGAAGAAUUUUCAAGUCCUUACUAGUAGAGAUCAUCUCAUCAGCCUUCUCGACGAAGUGAGGUGUUACCAGGUUACUACAUUCGGCACCCUGAGAGCCCAAUUUGAUAUUGAACUUCGUAGAACUAAUAGCCUUGUCUUCAGGUUCUAGAACCUGAAGGUCGAGACGUGUUCAUUUCUCGACCGCAGUCGUGAGAUUCAGAAGUCAAUAGUGCGCCCAAUGCAACAUCAACUCAUUUUACUUACCGGUCAAGCUCGACCGUCGAGUUGGCAUGCCCCACACACAACCGAAGGACAUAGUUAGCUUUUUAAUUACUCGGCUUGUGCGCCACGUAUACUUGAUAGUUUUUAAGAUCAACAGAAGGUAAAGAGCAAUAAAAACUGAUUAACGAAUUUAACAAAUUUAAUAGCGCCAAUUGAUCCUCUUGUAUUCUUCUUGAAAUCAAUUUCACAAUAACGAAUAUUAGAAUCAUGAGAUGAUUGAUAAUAAAUUAUUGAAACAGAGAAGAUAUAGCAAAUAAGAUAAGGUAGCUGGCAUUUGAUAGCGAUUUUGCUUGUAAAACUACACUUUUUGUCCAUCCAGAAGAAACCCAUUCUUCUGUUACAUGGCUUAACCGUGACCACACAAAACAGGAGAGCACGGGAAGGGCACCAGAAGUGGAGGGCAAACAAUCCUUGUCCGUGCUUUGUCCAUCGAGAAUAAGAAAUUGUAGGGACUAGGGGCCCAUUGCUCUUUUGAGAUGCAAGUUAAGGGACCUAACAAAGGGAAGUAAAAAGCAUUGGUAGGACAAAACAAGCCGUUUUAGGAAAACAACUUGGGGGAAGAUUCUCUCAUUUCCUAAUCUCUCUCCCAUUUUCUCUCCUUCUAUUUGAACGGUUACGGUUUAGCUACGUCAAUAUCUUAUAUAUAUAUUUUUAGAGACGAUAAGACAAAAAAUAAUAUGUGGGAGAAGGGAAAAGAAGGGGAUGAGAAUAGGAGGGGAGAUAAUUCUCUUCCAAACAACUUGCCUAUACAAUUCGGAUUCUAAGACGGUGGUAUCCCAAACGAAUCUCAUCCGACUAUGUGUUUAAACAUUGCACAUGACACCACGUGAUUGUUAAAACAUUGUCACCGUAGUGUAUUGUACAUAUACAUGAUUGUUUUGAAGUAACAUCAUCAUUGUGACAUAUUCAUGACGUAUGCUUAUCUCGCCGACUAGAGUUUCAGAUUCCUAACCAGGCGGGCAUAAACGUGCUUACAGCCUAAAAGGCCUUAACCUCAUAGAUCUGAAAACACAUUUCUGUCGGAGAAAUUGUCAAGAAUAAGAUACGAACUAGAGUUUACUCCGGGCAAGAUACCUGAGAUUUUUAGCCGUUAAAGUCAUUGAAUUCUUGACCAAUGAUCUAACAGCUAAGUUCACAUUGUAUAACCGAGGCACACUACAGAACGUAGAAAAAAAUAAUGGGGAUUAAAACGCUUCAUUGGGUAGAGGGAUAAGUGACAAAACAAUGAGAAAAAACACAUCAAUUGUAUUAGAAAUGCAACUUGCCAAUGUGCACAACAACAAAUGAACAUAGUUGCUACUCCACCGCAAAACCACCUCUGUGUCUGUCAAAUCUUAUUAAUCUCUGCGAGCAGAGGUAGCAAAACAACCUUGAAAAAAAACCCCCCACAACUUUCCAUAUGUUUUUUUUGACACCCCCGUUAACCCCUCAUAAUCAUAAACUACUAAUGACACAUUCUUCAAAGAACACGAAAAUAUAAAAAUACUAAUAAAAGAAAACCCAAAUGGCGCAAUGCCUGUAUAGAGAGAGAGAGAGAGAGCGAGAGCAGCAGAGGCUUAAUUCAAUUCAAUGUUUUGAUUCGAAGGGGUGAAGACUGAAGAGCCGCCAUUAAAGCUUUAAGCUUGGGGCUUGUCCCACUUGAGUGGCUUGACAACCUCCCAGGUGAAGUCGGGGUCAUCCCUCCCGAAGUGUCCGUAGGCGGCGGUCUUCAAAAACCUUCCAUUGCCACCCCUCUUGAG
rnacentral:lncRNA from 1 species